rnacentral:lncRNA from 1 species
UACCCCCGCAUGGGCCCCAAGAGGGAGCUCAAGUUUGCCCUGGAGUCUUUCUGGGAUGGGAAGAGCAGCGCUGAGGAUUUGGAGAAGGUUGCGACCGACCUCAGGGCCAGCAUCUGGAAGCAAAUGGCUGACGCUGGGAUCAAGUACAUCCCCAGCAACACCUUCUCGUACUAUGAUCAGGUUCUUGACACGGCUGCCAUGCUUGGUGCUGUCCCAGAGCGCUACUCAUGGACUGGUGGAGAGAUUGGGUUCAGCACCUACUUCUCGAUGGCUAGGGGCAAUGCCACUGUCCCUGCCAUGGAGAUGACCAAGUGGUUUGACACCAACUAGUAAGUCCUUUGCUUCCAUUUAAGCUGUCUGACAGUAACAUUUUAUUUAGAUUUCACAUUCAACAUUUUGCUAACUGCUGCUGUUGUGCCUUUACAGCCACUUUAUCGUCCCUGAACUUGGUCCCAACACCAAGUUCUCCUACUCUUCCCACAAGGCUGUGAAUGAAUACAAGGAGGCUAAGGCGGUAAGAUACUAGGAUUACAUCUUACGUCUCUGUCUGGUUCAUGAUUGUUUUCUCUGCCUGACUACAUAGGCGUUGCUAACACAUUCUUAUUGUCAUUAAUGUCUUAGUUCGUAAAGUUACUUAUUAGUUUAGCGUGUUGCUUUCUGCUAUUAUAGUGCAUUUGCUUAAUAAUUUUGUCCUAGAAAAGAAAUUCUGAUGUACAUUAAAUGGCAUGCUUACCAUGAUUUUUUUUGAAGAUUGUCACUCCUUCAGAUUGAUGGCCUGUAAAUCACAUGCCCUCCAAGUGACAGUUUGUUUAAGUUCAGUGUUAAUACUCGUGUCCAAGCAAAUUUUUGGCCCCUUGUUUAGUAUUUUGAAACUAGCAAUUUCAGAUUUGCAAAGACUAAAAUUCACUUUACAUUUAUGAAAUAAUGUUUUUUUAGCACUAUAUGUUGUUUCCAUCUUUCUCAAAAGAUGUCCAUGUUGUUUGUGGCGAAAUUGUCUGAUUUUACCUAUGCUUAAUUGGUGAGUUUACCUGAAACAUGCUUUGGUUGAAUUUACUAUCUUGUUCCAGUUUGUGAAUAGUAACAUUUCUAUUUUUAAGCAUCAAAUUCUGAAUUAAGUAGUAUUCCUUCUGGAUUGAAAAUCAUAGUGUUUUCUUAAAAAUUAAGAUGUAAUCUGGUCGUUUGUAUGUCUCAUGUAAUUGUUCUUCAUGCAGCUCGGCGUUGACACCGUGCCAGUACUUGUUGGACCAGUUUCAUACUUGUUGCUCUCCAAACCUGCCAAGGGUGUAGAGAAGUCGUUCGCUCUUCUUUCCCUUCUGAGCAGCAUCCUUCCUGUCUACAAGUAAGUGUACAAACAAGUCUAUAACUGCUGCUAGCGCUAAAUCUUCAGUUCAUAAUUUGAUGCAUGAUGAUUUGUAGGGAGGUUAUUGCUGAGUUGAAGGCAGCUGGUGCUACUUGGAUUCAGUUUGAUGAACCCACACUUGUUCUUGACCUUGACUCUCACCAAUUGGCUGCAUUCUCUGCUGCAUACACAGAACUUGAGUCGGCACUUUCUGGAUUGAAUGUGCUUAUUGAGACAUACUUCGCUGACAUUCCUGCUGAAUCAUACAAGUAUGUUUAUUUCCUGUACUAUCGUAUCAUUACCAAACCCGCCUUUCCUUUAGCAUGCUUUUUCUUUUUAGUGGCAGAACACUGAUACUGCCUUUUCACUGCAGGACCCUCACAUCCCUGAACAGCGUGACUGCUUAUGGUUUUGACCUUAUCCGUGGAGCCAAGACUCUUGACCUUAUCAAGAGUGCUGGUUUCCCCUCUGGAAAGUACCUCUUUGCCGGUGUUGUGGAUGGACGCAACAUCUGGGCUGAUGAUCUCGCUGCAUCUCUCACUACCCUUGAGUCUCUUGAGGCUAUUGUUGGAAAGGGUAAGCAAUUAAGCAUGAAGUUAUUAUAUCUGUUAUAUUUUAAUAGGUACAAUUUGCUGUAUCCAAUAAUAUCCUCAAUUUCUGCACAUCCAACAAUACCUUUCAUUUCUGCAGACAAGCUUGUGGUCUCGACUUCCUGCUCACUCAUGCACACCGCUGUGGAUCUUGUAAAUGAGACCAAGCUCGAUAGCGAGAUUAAGUCAUGGCUCGCUUUUGCUGCCCAAAAGGUGGUUGAGGUGAAUGCCCUUGCUAAGGCAUUGGCUGGACAGAAGGAUGAGGUAUGGUACUCUCUUUCACCCUUUAUUUAUUCUCUCACCUCUUAGUAAGAGAUCAGGCUUAGUUCUCAAUAUUAUUCGGAGAAACUUCUGCUGCUGCUCAGGCUUACUUUUGUACAUUUGUAAACAAUAUUGUACAGGCUUACUUUGCAGCAAACGCUGCUGCUCAGGCCUCCAGGAGGUCAUCACCUCGUGUGACAAACGAGGAAGUCCAAAAGGCUGUAAGUACCUUGCGUUUUUGGCCAGCAUUUGCUGAUUUCAUAUCAACAUAACUUCACAUGUUUUUCUUAAACACAUGAUAUUGUUUGUGAAGGCUGCUGCUCUGAAGGGGUCUGACCACCGCCGUGCUACCAAUGUUAGCGCUAGACUGGACGCACAGCAGAAGAAGCUCAACCUUCCAGUCCUUCCUACAACCACAAUUGGUUCAUUCCCACAGACUGUGGAGCUCAGGAGAGUCCGCCGUGAGUACAAGGCAAAAAAGUGAGUAACAGUCCACAUCAACGCUUCACUUGUUUCCCUUCUUUCGUCUAUAUUACUCAUAGCAAAAUACUGCUACAGGAUCUCUGAGGAGGAGUACAUCAGUGCCAUCAAGGAGGAAAUCAGCAAGGUUGUUAAGAUCCAGGAAGAGCUUGACAUCGAUGUCCUUGUUCACGGCGAGCCUGAGGUCAGUAUCCUUGUGUACUGUUUGUGUUUUCUAGACUUUGCACCUGGCUGUUUGAGAAAACAAAAUAAAUAUAUUUAUUGAAGCAUUAACAAAGUUUGGUUUGUUCUGCAUUGAAGUAAGCUAAUUGGCAUGUAUUUUAUACUUUCAGAGAAACGAUAUGGUUGAGUACUUCGGUGAGCAGCUUUCUGGUUUUGCAUUCACUGCCAACGGAUGGGUGCAAUCUUAUGGAUCACGGUGUGUCAAGCCACCAAUUAUCUAUGGUGAUGUGAGCCGCCCCAACCCCAUGACUGUGUUCUGGUCCAAGUUGGCGCAGAGCAUGACCUCUCGCCCCAUGAAGGGAAUGUUGACUGGUCCCGUCACAAUCCUUAACUGGUCUUUUGUCAGGAAUGACCAGCCGAGGUCAGUGCCUGUUGUUGAUAAUGUAAUCUAAUUUGUUCUGGUUGUGAAUGAGCAUUCUUUUCUGAGUCUGACAUUCAUACGCUGGCUCAGGUUUGAGACAUGCUACCAGAUUGCUCUUGCCAUCAAGAAGGAGGUCGAGGACCUUGAGGCUGGUGGUAUUCAGGUUGGUCCUGUUCUAUAAUUUGGUUCUCAAGAGAAUCUUGCUUACGUUUUUUUAAUGGUCCUUUGCAGGUCAUCCAAAUCGAUGAGGCUGCUUUGAGAGAAGGUCUGCCACUCCGCAAGGCGGAGCAUGCUUUCUACUUGGACUGGGCUGUUCACUCCUUCAGAAUCACCAACUGCGGUGUUCAGGACACCACCCAGGUAAUUUGCCUUGAUUACACUGUCGCUGGAGCCUCGCAUUGUCAUCGCCUAUCUUCUGGAGCUAAGAAAUUUCUCUUUGACAGAUCCACACCCACAUGUGCUACUCUAACUUCAACGACAUCAUCCACUCCAUCAUCAACAUGGACGCUGAUGUGAUCACCAUCGAGAACUCCCGGUCCGACGAGAAGCUGCUCUCCGUCUUCCGCGAGGGUGUGAAGUAUGGUGCUGGCAUUGGCCCUGGUGUCUAUGACAUCCACUCCCCAAGGAUCCCGUCCACAGAGGAGAUUGCGGACCGCGUCAACAAGAUGCUCGCGGUGCUCGACACUAACAUUCUCUGGGUGAACCCUGACUGCGGUCUCAAGACCCGCAAGUACAACGAGGUCAAGCCCGCCCUUACCAACAUGGUUUCGGCCGCCAAGCUCAUCCGCACCCAGCUCGCCAGCGCGAAGUGAGGAUAUCCAUAGCUGCAAGUUCCCUUCGGUUGCGAGGACGAUGCCGUCAUAGCCAUCUGUUUUUGAAUAAUCUGGGUCCAGUGGAUCCAAUUGUCUGUGGUUAGGUUUAGUCAGUCUCGGUGGGAAGAUCCCUCAUACCCGUUUUACUUUUGAAUCAAUUUGGUGGUUUUUGAGGCAGUUUGUCGGUGUAUUUGUAUUGUGUGUAAUCUGAGUGGGAAUCAGCAGUGUUUCAUCUGCAUCUGAAUCGUUGCGGAUCAAAUUACAAAAUUUUCAAGGAGAGUUCUUGAUGUUAUGGUCUUCCAACUACCUAAGUGUUUUGUGUCAGUUGUUCACCUGAGUUGAGAGUGGUUGAUUUCUGAUGAUUCCUUGCUGGUGGAGAUCACUUUGCAUUUUAUUUAGAUAUAAAGCCAGUCACUUGAAAUAGUUAGAUGUUGGGAUUUGAACACAUUGUUGUAAGCAUGCAACAUUAGCAAACUGUUCAUGGUCAUUUCUGGUCUGGUUGCUUGGAUCAGGACAUGAAAUGGAUUGAAAGUGGAACAAAAGUAUGCUUGCAAUGAGCAGUACCAUUUUGGUUAUUGUGGUCUUUGAGUGUAUGCAUUUGCAUUGCAGGUGGUGUUAAUUUACAUGUAAAUCUCAUUAGCUUAACAAAUACUGUACUUAAUUACAUAUCACAAUUGGCAAAUUCAUGCUCUUUUUCGUCAGAGACAUGAGAAGAGUGGCUGUCUUGCUUCUUUCUAGCUACCACGGUGCGACACGGGACAUGAGUCAUGACAAGCACCGUCGUAUGGGUCCACGCAUGAAUCUAUUAAAAACCUAUUAAAAACGUUUUCUUAUAAUGUGAAACGGGUGUUCCAUCGGUUGCUCAUAUUUCCUAAUAAAUUUAAACAGCUUAUUAGGGAAUAAAAAUUAUUUUAUACAUAAAACUUUUAUAUAUUUGUUCGUAGCGAAUUAAAAGUCAAUGAUAAAAAAAAUUACGUUAAAAAUAUCUCAAAAAUCAAUUUCCAAAUCAAGUUGAAAAUUUUAAAUUUUGGUUUAUUAGGCGAACCGACGGGGGUUUAUUGGAUCAUGACAUGUUUCAGCGUGUGGCCUUGACAAAGAUAGUGAUGUGCAAGUAGAAAAUCCAUGGAAAUUAUCGACGAGUUUUUAGUUUUGACCCCAGCACAGAGAUGAUUGGCUCUAUCUACUACUCCAUCUUUGGUGAAUCACAGCCAUAAUAAUUUUUUUUUCUGUUCAAAAUCUGAAUUUUGUGACUGCACUCCCAUUUUCACCCAAGUAAGUGUGAACUUCCCCUGAUUGCAACCUUGAAAAAAUGAAGUGCAUAUGCAUAGAGUCAGAAUAACAUUUCAUUAUCCACCAACCCCCAUGGGAGUUAGGAGCGCCUAACAUUUCUUCUUCUUUGAUAUCCACCAACCCCCAUGGCCCCACAUAAGUAAGCAUCAUUGAUCAACUCCCCUCUACCAUGACAUGAACACAUAAACUCCUGCCUAAUAUUCUCAACAAAAUGGACUUCCCAUGAUACAAAAAUACUCAACUUCAUGCAUGCAAAAUGAGGAGAUAUUUGCAGCUAAGGUGACCCCAUCAUGGUUGUUAAGAGUAGGAGGAGCACCAAUUGAAGGAUUUCAAGUAUAUUCCAUGUUCAUUCUUGAUUGGCACGAUCUAAUCAAGAUUCCAGUAGUUUCAAAAAAGAAAAAAAAAGAAAAUCAAGAUUCCAGUGAAGCACUUUAAAUUUCCACUACUCCUACUGCUCCAGUCUCCACAUGGUUUGCAUUGAGUUCUAAGAUAGUCAGUGCUCAGUACCAUGUUGUAUAUGAUGAACAUUCAUUUGCAUUUGGAGUUGGACAAAAGGAGUUCUGCAAAUGUAAACUGAGUUUCAGACUUUUUAUACAUUUCUGAUUUCAGUAACAUUGCAUCUACAGCAUAAACGAUCUGCUUAACUUUAUGGCUAACUUUAUACAUUGGUUGGCUAAACUCUUGUUAGAGUACUUCCUAAGUGGGAUUUGGUAUAAGUAAAGGUUCAUUGAAUCCAGACAUAUUGCAGACUAUCCCAGAUCGACAAAAAACUGUGGCUUGAAAGUUCAGUCACACCUCAUCUCAAGAAAAUUUCCUCUCCAAGCUCUUCUCAGGAUUCAUCAAAAGUUGGUUAAUUUACUGAACCCAAAGCCAGACACAAUUUUAUUUUUUCAAGGAGCUUGGAUCCAACACUGAUGUGAUUAAAAAACCCCAAACCUGGAUCAAAUAAAUCUUGUACUACUACAAUAGUACUCUACUGUACUAGUACUGCAACUACAAACAAGACACAUGAAGACAAUGUCACGUGAAGAUCUGCCAUUGGUCCGUGCUGCCUCCAAUGGCGAUAAAAAACUGUUUACUUUGUCGGUAACUGUAAUUAGCGACUGAUAAUUCGUGUUUACUUAUUAUAAGCUUGAGGCUCUAUAUGUUGCAGGACAGCAUGGACAGCAAUCAUGCAAGAACGUGCUAUCACAGUCAGUACUCACAGCCUCUUGUCCCUUUCUAUGGGAAUAUAAUAGUCCCUUCAAUUCUUUUUCUUAAUUUUUCUCCUCUAAAAUGAAUGACUGAAUUGUCUAAAUUAAGUUGUAUGCGAGAUUGUUUGUGCAGCAUUUUAAGGUAGACUAUAGUGGAGAAUUUGUUGGUGUUCAGUUUUCUCUUUUGAGAAAUAGUGUCAUCAGUAUGUUUUACUAGCUUGUACCCAAAAUUUCCCUACUUCCUUAUUUAUCAUUUAAAAUUGUCUCUUCCACUGUGUUUUCAUAAUUUUAAGAGGGUGGGUAGACAGGAAUCAAAGUGGUAAAGAGCUUUAGUAAAAUGUCUAGAUCCCUCACAGAUUCCUUCACAAAUUAUUCAAGAGGACUGAAUUCUCUGGAUACAAAAUAUUUCUUUGUUGAUCGUAUCUCAUAUCACAAUCCAUUGGAAAAGAUGGAGGGUAAUUCCAAAGGAAAAGUGUAUACUGGACUAAACUAAAUUAAACAAUUUUUAAACUUCACACAAAAUGAAACUAUGACAACCGUGCAAGAGCCUCCAGGCCACCAUCUCACCAACCACAGCCUCUCUCACCAACUCUGCUCCUCCAAUUGUUAAUUUAAGGAGAGAAUGACUUUUCUUUUAGCUAAUAACUAUACUAAUACUAUAUUUGUGCUCAAUAAUUACGUGACUUUCGGCACUAAAAAAAUGGAGUUACAUUUGUACAUGUAUAGCUAGCUAGCAUUAGCCCAUAAUACGAUGUGGUAAACCAUUAUUUAAUUUAGUCGUCAUGCCUCAUCAUGCAUAAACGUGGAAAAGGCAGACAAACUUUCUCAAAGGCAGCUUUUUUUGUUUUUGGUGGAAACACAAUUGGCUUGAGUUGGGUACAUGAUCAUAGCUACACACAGAAAAAAAAACUUCUGAAAUAAUCAGAUAUGUAAACCUUAGCUAACAAUAAACAAUUAUUUUUGAACAGCUUGGUCAGAAUAUAUUUUCAAACAACAGUAAUGAAAAACAGGUCAAACUUACAACAAAUAAUAUGAAAAAUAUUUCUCCAUUUUCUUGAGAAAACAAAUCAAAUCACAACCCACAUGUAUAUUUGAAACUACUAUUAAAAAUGGAUAUUUUAGCCACCGAGAUAUUACAUAAUAAUUUCUAAAUUAGUUUUCUAUGCGGCAAGAGAUGAGGAUCAUAAUCAUUAAAAGUAUGCAUAUUAUGAUACUAUGUUAAGUGGAACAAGUCCUAAUUUGUAGUGAUCCAUCAUUUAACCUGGACAAUUAAUCUCUACCCACACUAAAAUGGUGCAAGCUUAGCUACACAUCAUACACAGAAAAACACAAUAUUGCACAAUCUAGAGAUGCCGUAGACUCGAAUAGUCAUUUUCCAUGUAAAUAUGAUAUUAUAAUUAACUCAUGCGUAGGCUAAUGUAGCAAUAGGGAUAUGGACAUUGUCAAAAGUGGUUUAAAAGAAGGUUAAUUAUGAUGAUAUGUGGUAACUGGAGCACGACCUAAUUUACGGUGAUCAUCCAUAACUUAACAUUGACAAUUACUCUUACCGACAAUAAAAAAAGGUUCAUGACUAAUGAAAUACUACCAGAUUUGAGUAUUGUACUGCACAAGCUGGUGUACUUGCACGACACAAACUUGUUUUCAGAUAAAUAUCCCAUACUGCAAUACUUUUGAAUACAUAUUUUUGUAAAUGGAGAUGUCAUUGGAGCGGUCCGAAGAACUAUGAUGACAUGGUAACUCAAGUACGACCUAAUUUACAGUGAUCAUCCAUAACUUAACAUUGACAAUCAAUCUUACGGUCUUACCAACACUAAAAAGGCUCAUGGUGAAAUGAAAUGCUACCAUAUUUGAGUAUUUGACAUGGGACACCCCAUACCAACUUGUUUUUAGGGGGAAAAUAAAUAUUUAGGACUGGUUUUGUCUGGGGCUUGACCUUAACAAUUUUUGCUAAUGUUAAAUUUCGGCAUAGCCUCUUUUGACAAUGUAAUACUAUUAAAAAUACCAAAUAUUUGUAAGGCCAAUUUAGGCCACAAAUGAAACCAACCUGAAUCUCUUUUAUUAAUAUAUUCUUAUUCUAUAUCCUUUAUAAAUGAAUUUCCCUAAAAAAUUAGCCCCAAUCCUAUAUGCUUAAUCCAUAAAUUAUUCUAACCAUCAACUAAAAAAACCCUAAAAAAGUUUAUUCUUGCAAUUGCUCAUGAUACCCUCUUGUAGCUCAUAGGUAUAUUUUUUCUAAAGUUCAAUAUUGUCGACGAGUGAUACUCGCGGACCGGAUGAGUAGAGUAUUGGGGUACGUUGGAACGAGGGUUUACAUAGUACGACAUCAAAGCAGACAAAAGGCAAGGAUUAUACUGGUUCAGACCCUUAUCAGGUAAUAGCCCUAGUCCAGUUUAUAUGGGAUUGAUGAUGAUGAGAACAGAUUACAAAGAGAGUAGUCAAAACAGAUGAUACCGACGAGAUCGUAGUCGAGGGUUUCGACGAGAUCUCUCGGCAAGUUGGCUCCGCGUACUCCAGCUUCGUAAGCUUUGGUGGGUGUGUUGGCGAAGAGAUUCUGAUCCGAACCUCUCCCAAGGGGUCCCCUUUUAUACCGUGAGUCAUCUUGAUCCCCAAGAAAGGUUUUGAGGAUAUCGGACCUGGGACGGUCUAACGGAAACUUUAUCCCUUACGAGUAGAACUUUAUAAAUCACUUGACUCGUAAAGAUAUUUUCCUUAAUUUGAAGUAACUUCCAUACGACAUAUAUGUAAAUAAUCCGUAUACGUAAAGGUAUACCAUAUUGGUAUAUUUCACAAGUCGCAGGAUAGAAGGUAUGCCUUAUCCGUAACCCUGACAAAUAUCCCUCUUACUAACUAGAAAUAAAAUAAUUAGUUCAAACUCCCAAAAUGGUGCUAUCUAUAUAGACACUAUAUAUAUUACCAUUUGCAAAAAAAAAAAGAAGAAGAAGAAGAAGAAGAAAAAUAUUCCCUUCAUUUUUAUCUAGUUGACGCGGGUUAGUUCCAUUUUGCACUAACCAACAUCAAAUUUUUUAAAAAGGAGGGAUUGUAUAUUAUCACAAUAGUUUUUAAUACAUACAUGGGAAAGGCCAAAAGUCGCAUAACAACAAAAGGGUAAAUGUGCUUUUCAUCGAAGAAAAAGAAGUUCAAAAUCUACCCUUAGUCCAAAUGAUCAUGACAAACAAAAUAGGACAUAAUCCCUGCGGUUCCAUAAUUCUUGACGUCCUUACCAAUAACACAGGGCAUCAUUUUUUCGCUUAUGCUUAUAUUUAUCAGCCAAAAUUUGAAUUUUCAACCUUAAAUUUGGAGCUGAUUUUAAGGAUUUUUUUUUAUCGAAGUUUAUUUUUCAGCUUUUGCUUUUAGAUCGCUAAGAACGCACAUAUAAAAAUUUUAUUCACAUACUACUUUUCGUUUGCAAAUAUGCCAUUUCGCUUAUUCCGAGAAUAAGUGAAACAAUGGCUCCAAUAGUCUUUAAAAUAUAUCUUUGAUUAUGUUUUUAUCUUAAAUAUAUAUACAUAUAUAAUAAAUAAAUAUAAUUUUACUUUUAUCAUAAUAUUUUUGAAAAAUAAAUAUCUCUAUGUAUAUUGUUCUAUUAUAUUUAUAAACUAAAUACUUUUAAAUUAUUUGUACUUCUAAUUAAAUUUAUAAAAGUUUCACCUCGACCGAAUUAUGAAACCGUUGCGAGUAUAAGAGAAAACACAAUCUUAACAAAACAUUAAGAUGAAAAGGAUGAAACUUUUCAUCUUAAAAAACCGUGCACAAAACACAAUCCUAAUAAGUACUUCAUUCGUUUUAUAUUAUAAGACUUUCUACCAUUUCUUUUAUUUAUAUAGAUGUUAAUGAAUUUAUACGUAAUAUGAAACGGAAUGAAGUAGUAAAACAUUCAGAUGAAAAAGAUGAAACUUUUCAUCUGAAAAACCGUGCACCACCAGAUGAGCCUCUGCUUUCAGAUCUCACCAACCAACCAAAAAAAAAAAUCUCCUCUCUUCUUAUAUAAAUAAGGAACUCUCCCAAACCCCUCUUCUCCGUCCUCCUCCUCCUCCUCCCUCGCCGUCCGCCGCCGCCGCUCGCUUCCUCCCCUCUCCCACGGUAAGCCCGCGCCGCCGCUCUCUCCCUCUCCUCCGUCACCCUUCCCUUCCUCCGAAUCGGCCGAGUCUGUCAGCGACGGAGACCGCGCCGGGAUCCGUGCCCAUUCGCGUAGUAGCGGCGAGCGACGGUUUUUUUUUUUUUUGCCUGCAAAGUCGGUCGCUUUCGUGUGGCGUCGGGUCGGGGAGAAUGGAUCGAUCUGUUCGUCUUGAUCGGAUGGAUUGAUCGAUCAAUCGAUCUUGGUGGGAUCCGAUCUGAAUGAGGUUUUUGGGUUAGGAAAUGGAGUGAAAGAUUGGACUUUUUUUUUUGUCGGUGUGUUGCACGGUUCGUUUAGGAUUGGAUCUGUGUUUUCUUCCGUGGAAAAUCUUCCAUUUUUCACUGCAAGUGCACAUUUGUGGCCUCUUCAGUACUUGUGUUUCUAAACCCGGGGGGUUUUUGGAUCUGACACCGAGGUUUAGUCCGUGUUGUCAUAUGUUUUUUCUCAAAUUCUGUUACGAUAUUCUCCUAUUAUAAAUGCAUUACGGUGUACUAGACCCUGUGAUCUGUGGAGUACAUGUUAAGGUCGUGCUUCCAGUACCAUCGCAUCUACUGUCAUUUGGUUGCCAUCUCGUAUUAUUUGGUUAGGAAUUUGCAAUUGCCUGCAUGCUAAUAAAUGAAUUGUUGUUUGUAUGGCAUGCCAAACAAGAUCCAACUACUUUGCUGCUGGUGUGAGAGGGACAGUGUCUCCCACCAAUUGUAGUUGGUCUUAUGUACCCACCACUUUGGGCUGGGUCCUACUACAUGCUAGUGCUGGUUGGUGGUGUACCUAACCCAUAUACUAGUAUCAGUUUAGUCUAUUCUUUUAGCACCACUGGAUCUGGUGAUAUAGCCCCAUGUAUAGGAAUCAGGAAGAUUAGUAGAACAGAAAACACAAAAGUAUGCUUUAAUAGUUGGAUGGCAUAUACCUUUAUUCGGAUCACCGUUCCAAAUGUGACGUUAGUAUCCGUUAGUGGCAUGCUUUUUAAUCUAACAAGGCGUUCUUCAUCGUGUGGUUAGCAUAUGGAUAUGUGUAAUCUUGUUAGCUAAAUCAUAAUUUUCGUAUGUAUUCACAUGACAUUUCGAUGAAUCAAACUGAUCGUAGUACAAUUGUUUCUAUAGAAAGAUGGCGUCUCACAUUGUUGGAUACCCCCGCAUGGGCCCCAAGAGGGAGCUCAAGUUUGCCCUGGAGUCUUUCUGGGAUGGGAAGAGCAGCGCUGAGGAUUUGGAGAAGGUUGCGACCGACCUCAGGGCCAGCAUCUGGAAGCAAAUGGCUGACGCUGGGAUCAAGUAUAUCCCCAGCAACACCUUCUCGUACUAUGAUCAGGUUCUUGACACGACCGCCAUGCUUGGUGCUGUCCCAGAGCGCUACUCAUGGACCGGUGGAGAGAUUGGGUUCAGCACCUACUUCUCGAUGGCUAGGGGAAAUGCCACUGUCCCUGCUAUGGAGAUGACCAAGUGGUUUGACACCAACUAGUAAGUACUUUGCUUCCAUUUAAGAUGUCUGACAGUAAACAUUUUAUUUAAUUUUUAUAUUCAACAUUUUAGCUAACUGGUGCUGUUUACCUUUACAGCCACUUUAUCGUCCCUGAACUUGGUCCCAACACCAAGUUCUCCUACUCUUCCCACAAGGCUGUGAAUGAAUACAAGGAGGCCAAGGCGGUAAGAUAAUAGAAUUAUAUCUUUACAUCUCUGUCUGCUUAAUGAUUUUUUUUCUCUGCCUGACUAGAUGUCGCUAGCACAUUGCUUAAUGUCAUCAAUAUCCUAGUUCAUAAAGUUAUUUAUUAGUUUAUUUUGUUGCCUUUUGUUAUGAUGCUAAUUCAAACAUCAAGUUUUAGUAGUGAUCAAUUGUUUCUUAGUUGUGCAUUUAUAUAAUAAUUUUGUUUAGAAAAGAAUCUGAUGUAGAUUAAGUGCUGGCUUGUAAAUUAUGUUUUGGAAGAUUGUCACUUCCACAGAUUAAUGGCCUGUAAAUGACAAGCCCACCAAGUCAGUUCGUUUCUUUAGUGCUGUAUUAAUACGGCCAAACAAAUUUUGGCCCCUUGCUUAGAAUUUUGAAUGUAGCACUUUCAGAUUGACUAUGACUAGAGUUCACUUUAAAGGUUAUGAAAUAAUUUUUUUGCACUAUAUGUUGUUUUCAUCUUUUUUCAAAAAGCUGCCCAUGUUGAUCUGUGGCAAUAUUUUUUUUUUCUAAUUUCACAUAUUCUUUAUUGGUGAUUGGUGAAUUUACCUGAAAAGUUCUUUGAUUAAAUAUGUUAUCUUGUUCCAGUUUGUGAAUAGUGGCACUGCUGUUUCAAGCAUCAAAUUCUGAAUUUUGUUGUAGUCCUGAAAUGAAAAUCACAGUGCCCUAUUUAUUAAGAUGUAAUCUGGUUGCCUUAAUGUCUCCUAUGUAAUUGUUCUUCAUGCAGCUCGGCGUUGACACCGUGCCAGUACUUGUUGGACCAGUUUCAUACUUGUUGCUCUCCAAGCCUGCCAAGGGUGUAGAGAAGUCGUUCGCUCUUCUUUCCCUUCUCAGCAGCAUCCUUCCUGUCUACAAGUAAGUGUACAAACAAGUCUAUAACUACUGCUAGCGCUAAAUCUUCAGUUCAUAAUUUGAUGCAUGAUGAUUUGUAGGGAGGUUAUUGCUGAGUUGAAGGCAGCUGGUGCUACAUGGAUUCAGUUUGAUGAGCCCACACUUGUUCUUGACCUUGACUCUCACCAAUUGGCUGCAUUCUCUGCAGCGUACACAGAACUCGAGUCGGCACUUUCUGGAUUGAAUGUGCUUAUUGAGACAUACUUCGCUGACAUUCCUGCUGAAUCAUACAAGUAUGUUUAUUUCCUCUACUAUCGUAUCAUUAUCGAACCUGCCUUUCCUUUAUCAUUCUUCUUUUUAUAGUGGCAGAACACUGAAUACUGCCUUUUCACUGCAGGACCCUCACAUCCCUGAACAGCGUGACUGCUUAUGGUUUUGACCUUAUCCGUGGUUCCAAGACUCUUGACCUUGUCAAGAGUGCUGGUUUCCCCUCUGGCAAGUACCUCUUUGCUGGUGUUGUGGAUGGACGCAACAUCUGGGCUGAUGAUCUCGCCGCAUCUCUCACCACCCUCGAGUCUCUUGAGGCUAUUGUUGGAAAGGGUAAGCAAUUAAGCAUGAAGUUAUUAUAUAUGUUAUAUUUUAAUGGGCACAAUUUGCAGUAUCCAAUAAUAUCCUCAAUUUCUGCUCAUCCAACAAUACCUUUCAUUUCUGUAGACAAGCUUGUGGUCUCGACUUCCUGCUCACUCAUGCACACCGCUGUGGAUCUUGUAAAUGAGACCAAGCUCGAUAGCGAGAUUAAGUCAUGGCUUGCUUUUGCUGCCCAAAAAGUGGUUGAGGUGAAUGCCCUUGCUAAGGCAUUGGCUGGACAGAAGGAUGAGGUAUGGUACUCUUUUUUGCCCUUUAUCUAUUCUCACCUCUUAAUUAGAGCCUGAGCAUAGUACUCAUUACUCAAUAGCAUUUGAAGAAACUUCUGCUCAUUUAUACAUUUGUGAACAAUAUUGUACAGGCUUACUUUGCAGCAAACACUGCUGCUCAGGCCUCCAGGAGGUCAUCACCUCGUGUGACAAACGAGGAAGUCCAAAAGGCUGUAAGUACCUUCUGUUUUUAGGCUGCAUGCUUGAUUCUAUUCAACAUAACUUGGCCUGUUUUUCUUAAUAUCAUGUUAUAUUGCUUGUGCAGGCUGCUGCUCUGAGGGGGUCUGACCACCGCCGUGCUACCAAUGUUAGCGCUAGGUUGGACGCACAGCAGAAGAAGCUCAACCUUCCAGUCCUUCCUACAACCACAAUUGGUUCAUUCCCACAGACUGUGGAGCUCAGGAGAGUCCGCCGUGAGUACAAGGCUAAAAAGUGCGUAACAGUCCACAUCAACGCUUCACCGUUUUCCCCCUUUUUUUUGUCUAUAUUGCUAAUUACAAUUCCUGCUACAGGAUCUCUGAGGAUGAGUACGUCAGUGCCAUCAAGGAGGAAAUCAGCAAGGUUGUUAAGAUCCAGGAAGAGCUUGACAUUGAUGUGCUUGUUCACGGCGAGCCUGAGGUCAGUAUCCUCGUGUACUACUUGUGUUUAGUGUUUAUUACUAGACUUUACACUUGGCUGUUUGAGAAAACAAUAUUAUUAGAUUUAUUGACUCAUUAACAAAGUUUGGUUUGUUCUGCAUUGAAGUAAGCUAACUGGCAUGUAUUUUACAGAGAAACGAUAUGGUUGAGUACUUUGGUGAGCAGCUUUCUGGUUUUGCAUUUACUGCCAAUGGAUGGGUGCAAUCCUAUGGAUCCCGGUGUGUCAAGCCACCAAUUAUCUAUGGUGAUGUGAGCCGCCCCAACGCCAUGACUGUGUUCUGGUCCAAGAUGGCGCAGAGCAUGACCUCUCGCCCCAUGAAGGGAAUGUUGACUGGUCCCGUCACAAUCCUUAACUGGUCUUUUGUCAGGAAUGACCAGCCGAGGUCCGUGCCUGUUGUUGAUGAUGCAAUGCUAAUUAUUCAGGUUGCGAUUGAGCUUUCUGUUGAGGCUGACAUUUUCACACUUGCUCAGGUUUGAGACAUGCUACCAGAUUGCUCUUGCCAUCAAGAAGGAGGUCGAGGACCUUGAGGCUGGUGGUAUACAGGUUGGACCUGUUCUAUAAUUUUGUUCUCAAGUGAAUACGCAAAACAUGAUCAUCUUGCUUACGUCUUUUUAAUUGUCCUUUACAGGUCAUCCAAAUCGAUGAGGCUGCUUUGAGAGAAGGUCUGCCCCUCCGCAAGGCGGAGCAUGCUUUCUACUUGGACUGGGCUGUUCACUCCUUCAGAAUCACAAACUGCGGUGUUCAGGACACCACCCAGGUAAUCUUUCUUCCAUCAGACUGUCACUGUAGGCUUUCAAUAUCAUCACCAAUCUUCUGUAACUUAAACUGAACAACUUUCUCUCGACAGAUUCACACCCACAUGUGCUACUCUAACUUCAACGACAUCAUCCACUCCAUCAUAAACAUGGACGCCGAUGUGAUCACCAUCGAGAACUCCCGGUCCGACGAGAAGCUGCUCUCUGUCUUCCGCGAGGGUGUGAAGUAUGGUGCUGGCAUUGGUCCUGGUGUCUACGACAUCCACUCCCCCAGGAUCCCGUCCACGGAGGAGAUUGCGGACCGCAUCAACAAGAUGCUUGCGGUGCUCGACACUAACAUUCUCUGGGUGAACCCUGACUGCGGUCUCAAGACCCGCAAGUACACCGAGGUGAAGCCUGCCCUCACCAACAUGGUUUUGGCCGCCAAGCUCAUCCGCACCCAGCUCGCUAGCGCGAAGUGAGGAUCGCCUUUGCAGCAAGUUCCCUUCGAUUUUGAGGAGGAAUGCCAUCAUAGCCAUCUUGUUUUUGAAUAAUCUGGGUCCAGUGGAUCCACUGUCUGUGGUUAGGUUUAGUCAGUCUCUUGGGGCCAAGAUCACUCAUACCCAUUUUACUUUGAAUGAAUUUGGUGGUUUUUGAGGCAGUCUGUCGGUGUAUUUGUAUUGUAAACUGAGUGGAAAUCAGCAGUGUUUCAUCUACAUCUGAGUUGUUGCGGAUCAAAUUACAAAAUUUUCAAGGAGAGUUGAUGUUAUGUUCUGCCAAGUACCCAAGGCUUUUGUCUGGUUUUCACCCGAGUUGAUAGUUUUCUGAUGAUUUCUUGCUGUGUUAUCACUUUGCAUUCUUUUACUCGUGCUUAUGUGCUGUUCAUGAUGAUAUAUAAAUCCAAUCACUUGAAAGACUUCCAUGUUGGGAUUUGAACACAAAUUGGCUUACUUCUGUAGGCAUAUUCAACAAUAGCAAACUCUUCAUGUUCAUUAGGAAAUGAAAUGGAUUGAAAAUGUAACAAAAGUAUACUUGCAAUUAGUAGUACAUUUUGGUUAUUAAUGUGGUGUUUCAGUAUACACAUUUGCAGGUGUUAAUUUACAUGUAAUCACAUUAGCUUAAUUACAUAUCAUUCACAUUUGGCAUCUGUUUGGUCAGAGACACAAGAGUCAAGAGCUCAAGGUGCGCCACACGGAUACGAUGAUCCCGACGAGCACCGCCGCCGCCGCCGCCAUGUUCACCAUCAGCCUCCUCUCCUCCGCCUCCCUCCUCCCACCUCCGCUCGCCGUCGCCGUCGCCGGCGGCCGCUCCUCCUCCGCUGCUGCCGCUCCAGCUCGACCCAUUUCUUGCGCCUCCUUCUCUCUCUUCUCCUCUUUCCUCUUCUGCUUCGAAAGCGGCGUAGUCGCCGGUAGCCUUGGAUCGCCGCCGUUUGCUGCUGGACUUGGCGCAGGAAGCGGCGGCCGUGGCGAGUCUUUUGUGCUCGGCGGCGACGAGGAUGUCGGCUUGCCGGCGGCGGGCUUUGCUGGUUCAGGGGUGAUAGCCGGAGGCGGGGUCCAAUACCGCUGUGACGGUUGCUGCGGCGGCGGCGGCGGCGAUGGCGGCGGUGGCUUUGGCUUUGUUGGUUCCGGAGGAGUCACUGCCGUUGGAGACCAAUAAUCCUCUGGCGGCGGUGGCAGCGGCGAUGGCGGCGGCGGCGAGGGCUUUGGCUCGAGAACACGUGGCAUCUUCACCGGAGCUCGUGGUGGUGGUGGUGGUGGCUGCGGCUUUGGCUCGACAACGGCAGGGGUGUCCCCCGGAGUUCGUGGUGGUACUGUAGGCGGCGGCGGCGGCGGAGAUGGUGGUGGCAAUGUUGGUGGCGGCUGUGGCUUCGGCUGCACAACGGGGGGCUUCACCGACGGUGGACGUGUCGGCGGCGGCGGCGGCGGAGAUGGUGGUUGCAAUGAUGGUGGCGGCUGUGGCUUCGGCUGCACAACGGGGGGCUUCACCGACGGUGGACGUGGCGGCGGCGGUGGCGGCGGAGGAGGAGGUGGUGGUGGCAAUGACGGUGGCGGCUGGGGUUUCACCGGAGGUGGACGGUGCGGCGGCUCAACGCGCGUACGAGUACGAGGAGGCGGCGGCGGCGGCGGCACCGGCGACAGAGCCGGCGGCGUCUUGAACUCCGGCGACGUCGCCGAGGACUCGUCGACGUCGACGGCGGCGGCGACGAGGGGGAGCGUGAUGAUGAGCUUGUGGUCGUCGAACCUGGCGCGGACGGCGUCGGCGUCGCAGUUGUCGGGGAGGCGGAGGUCCUUCUUGAAGCGCACCCACCUCCCCCCCCUCGCCGCCGGCGGCCGCUCGCCGGUGGCGCGGAGCAUGCCGUGGUUGUCCACCUGCACCCUCACCUGCUCCUUCCUGAACCCCGGGAGGGCGAUCUCCACCACGUCCUGCUCCUCGCCGGCCUGUCUCCACUCCACCUCCGGCUCCACCUCCUCGUACACUCGCCGCUGCUCCAUCGCCGCCGCCGCCGCUCGCCGGAGUUCGAUGUGUACACGUCAACUAAGCUUGCUUUUGUGACAGCGACGUGUUGUAAUAAACAUUAUAUUACACUUUAUAUAGAUGCAUGCAAAUGUGUUGUGAGAAUGGAAUUAGAUAGAUAGCUUGGAUUGGUUGAUGGAGAUGGCAGGAGCAUAUGCAAUGCAACCUGGGUUAGGUUAGCUAAGCUAAUUAAGGUAGCCAUGGAUGGAGAUGGAGUGAGCUUGACGCCAUGGGUGACCUCCUUCCUUGGGGCAAGGACAUAUGCUUCUUUGCUUCCAGGGGCGGAUCCAACGUGAAUGUAGGGGGGACUCAUGGAUACCCCGGAGCACCCCUUCGAUUUUUUCACCAUAAAUGAUAAACUAAAGGUCCCUAAAUAGCUGGAUAUUGAAGAAACUGUGUAAUUGAGCCCCCCCCCAAUUUUUUUUUUCCUGGAUCCGCCCCUGUUUGCUUCCUUCAUGGCAGAUUUUUUUUUUUUUUUGCUACACCUGGUGUAUUGGAUCUUGGGUAAUACCAAAAGUUCAUCAUAGUUGGGCCAAUUGGGCCGCCUAUAUGCUUUUCAGGAAUUUCAGCCUAUUUGUUUUUUUUAAAAAAAGAAACAAUUUUGAAUUGGCAAUACUUCAUUUGGAGUUCUUAGGGAGAAAAAAAAUAUGUUAGUGCUGAUUUUAUUAUCAUGUAGUAUUAGUAAUAAGCAUCUGUGUAAGGUGUUUGUCUAUGUCCAUGUGGCUUGGAUUUGGGUAAUACCAAAAUCAGAAUUGGGCCUGUUCUGUUGGGCAUUGGACUUCCAGGGACAGCAGCCUUUUUAUUUUCUUUUUAACGAAGAAUUUUGAAUUGAGAAUGUUUGUUUUGAAAUUAGUUCUUCAGAUUUGAUAUUUCUUUUAGCUGCAAUUCCUUUCAGGGAGAGCAGUCUUUCUUUUUGUUUUAAAGAAGAAUUUGAAAUUGACCAUUAUUGUCCUGAAAAAAGUUCUUCAGACUUGAUGUUACUUUUAGUUGCAAUUCCAUUUCUGUUUGUUUUAAACAAUAAUUCGAAAUUGACAAUAUUUGCCCUCAAAUUAGUUCUUCAAGCUUCAUGUUUGUUUUAGUUGCAGUUUGCAAAGGUACUUCUUCACUUUCCAAGUUUUAAAGUUGUACUUCUUUUUCAGCAUAGUUCUUCAUGAGUCUUAUCUCUUCAGCCUACCUAGCAAAACUUAGUAAUUUAGGCAUGUUUUUUUUUUUGGUGAUAGGGAGGAAACCAUAUUGCUAAUCCCUUUUUCUUCAGUUAAUCUUCUUGUCAGUUCUGAACUGAAGCUCAAACAGAAGGGCACAACGAUUUGUACAAGAAAACCAAAACCAUCUGGGACUCUGUGCUUGGGUAGCAUUAUUCAGUUAAGAGAUGAUGUACACAUCCCAUGAGUCAAGUGUUUGCAGAUCAAGCAACCAGACAAGCAAAGCAAACGUGGAGAAUCUGUUUGCAUCUUGGGGUGGAUCAAAUUCUGCAUAAUUUUUUAAUACUGGUCCAAUACCAGUACAGGCUGCUGAUUUGUUCACACGCUGGUCACCCCCUCUGAAGAUAUUGUUCCUUGGAUGAUUGUCCUUGCUGGAUAAAGCUCCUUGCAUAAUGGAGCACAGUUAACAAGGGGGAAGGACAAUAAGUUUCACAAGUAUCAAUCAGUUAUAUGAUGGUAAUAUAAGGCAUAAAGGCUUUUCCGGCACGCGGAAAAUUAGUAGGAAUGUCUCAAGAAUUUCAGAAAAAAAAAUCUCAUUCAAGGAGUUAGGGAAUUUCAGAAAAUUCAGAGUAGAAGACAAGAUCAUGUGAGAUCAAUCAACUGUACAAAAGAGGUCCCCAGCUUGUUAGGACAAUUCCAAGCUGGGAUUCAAUGAAUAGUCCUAGAUCAGGGUACCAGGCUACAAAAAGAGUAAAAUGCACCAGCGGUCCUUAAACUUGUCAGCAGGUUUCACUUAGGUUCACGAACUUGCAAAGCGCAUAUCGAGAUCCCUAAACUUGGUUUAUUCUAUCAUCCCGGUCCAAAGCCGUGUUUGACCGUGAUCUUGCCUACGUGGCAUACCACGUGGACGAUGAAAUAGAUUUUUUUUUAUUUUUUCUCCCUUCUUCCUUCUCUUUUCUCUUUUAUGAAAAGACGAUGACGUGUAUGAGGCAUUUUCAUGCUUUUCGGACAAGGAAGAAAGAGAAAAAAAAGAAGAAAGAAGAGAGAAAAAAUAAUUUAAAAAAUCUAUGUCAUCGUCCACGUGGCAUGCCAUGUAGGCAAGACCAUGGUCAAACGCGGCUUUGGAUUGAGAUAAUACAAUAAACCAAGUUUAGGGACCUUAAUGUGCGCUUCGUAAGUUCGUGGACCUAAGUGAAAUCUCCUGACAAAUUUAAGGACCGCUGGUGCAUUUUACUCCUACAAAAAAGUCAGUCUAGUGAUCACAAAUCCACUUAUACUACUACCCACCAUGCAUUGUGUUCAUCAUUUCUGACAGACAGGCACUGGCUCACUAGAAUUCUCACUCCUGUUAAUAAAUCAGAAACUUAAGUUGCAAAUGGUGGUUCCUUCUUGAGAUGAUCAUCUUGAUCUUCCAGAAGAACUUGACUGGAGAAGAGAAGAGACAAGGUGUUGAUGAUCCUACUGUAACUCAUGGAUCAGGAGAAGAUAUAUAGUCACCUGUGAUAGCUUAUCUGAAUUACUUACUGCGUGGUUCCAAUCUAACAGUAGCAUCUCCUGAUGUUGAGACCUCGAUUAGAUGGAUGGAUGUUGAGGCUAAUAGUUGUUCAUCCGUGUGGUGCCAAUCUGACAGUAGCAUCUCCUGGAUGCUCUUGUUCAUGGAAUGGCGUGUCGUCCAUGCAUUGGUCAGGCAAUUUGACAAUUUGUUCAUCGUCUAGCAGAGAGGAUAUAUGGUCAGGAAAGAGUUGAUGAGAUAAAAUUGCAGUUCGAGUACGGUUAUACUGCCGUCUUACCUGAUCCAAUAAUUGGAUGGAGAAUGUUGUGCCGGUAAGUAAACAGUAACAAGUUGUGAAUUUUCAUUAUCUGCUAGCUAGAGUGUCAGCUCUGAAGAAUAUAUCAGCAUAUGUAGAAACAUGAUGAACAUUAGUUUCAGCUGAUUUGUUUUCUUGUUACUGUCAUACAUCUCUGGUAAUAAUAGAAAUGGGAUAGGUUUUCCACUCUGUCUGAAAAAAAUAAUUCAGCUGAUAUUCCAAUCUCACUCACCUCACCUGCUGAAUUCCCAUAGCCAAAUAAAUUGAUUCCAUACCACCUAUUAUAGGGGAUAGAAAGGGGAGAGGUUUUCCUCUCUGUCUGGCCAAAAAAUAUUUCAGCUGAUAUUCCAAUCUAACUCACCUGCUGAAUUCCUAUAGCCAAAGAAAUUGAUUUAUUAGACAUACUCCCUCCGUUUCGAAAUGUUUGACACCAUUGACUUUUUAUCACAUGUUUGACCGUUUGUCUUAUUCAAAAAAUUUAAGUAAUUAUUAAUUCUUUUCCUAUCAUUUGAUUCAUUGUUAAAUAUAUUUUAUGUAGGCAUAUAAUUUUACAUAUCUCAUAAAAGUUUUUGAAUAAGACGAACGGUCAAACAUGUGCUAAAAAGUCAACGGUGUCAAACAUUUCGAAACGGAGGGAGUACCAAUUAUUGUAUCUUCAGAUUAGUGAGCUGCAUCAGAAAGUAGUAUGCAUGAUGGAAUCAGAGAAACAGGAGUAGCAGCUGCAGCAUCUCUCUUCCAAACCUUUAAAUACUAAUCCAACAAUGUUACUUUUGCUUACCAGAUAAGUUAACACCACAAUGAAUUAUCAAAUCCCAAAUGGUACUGAAUCAACACAAUAUAAUAUGGCAUAUAAGUUGACACAAAUGCAAACGACCACCACAAAGUGAUAAUUUAGUCCAAAGAGAACAUAAAAAAGGAAGAUGAGAGGAAUUCAGAAGAAGAGUUUUGAGUCAGUCAGUAUCAAGGUCAUGUGAUUGAUGAUUCAGCAUCCCUUGAGGCUCAGUGGCCUAAUGAGCUGCCACUUGUCCUAAUGACUCCACAUUUUCCUGUCAAUUUCCACACUAACUCUGAAACAAAGCUCAAAACACAGAGCAAAAAUCAAAGACCAAAACUUCCAUCUUUCUCUCUAGACCAACCAAGAACACUGCAUUUCCAGUACCAAAAUAAAACAAGAAAAACAAAGAAAACUACUUCCUCCGUUUCAGAUUAUAAGAUGUUCUGACUUUGGUCAAAGUCAAACUGCUUCAAGUUUAAUCAAGUCUAUAGAAAAAAAUAGUAAUAUUUUCAAUCCAAGCUAAUUUUAUUAUAAAAAUAUAUUUAAUUAUUAAUUUAAUAAAAAAACUAAUUUGAUAAUGUAAAUAUUACUAUAUUUGUCUAUAAACUAAGUCAAACUUAAAGCAGCUUGACUUUGAUCAAAGCCAAAACAUCUUAUAACCUGAAACGAAGAAAGUACAAGACAACUACAAGUUCCCAGCUUUCUCUUCCCAUUUCGAUUGCGGCCAUCUAUGCCAUCAAAAUCGUCGUAGCUUCACUACUCUCUCCCAAUCAUCACUAAGCUCCAACCUCCUCUCUGUCAUCUCCCAUGGCGGCCUUCUUGCGAACGCUGCACCGGCGAAGAACGCGCAAUGCCGCCGCCGCCGCGUUCUUGGCUCUCGCCGUCGUCGUCGUCGUCUUCUUCUUGUCCGUGUUCGUCGCCACGCGGAAUGAGGCUGACAUCUUCUUCAGUGGCGUCGCGGCGGCGAGCUCGUCGUCGCCGGAUUCCUCGUCCGGUGGGUGCAGGGAGCUGCAGGCGCUCGACGGCGAUGGCGCGAGGUGCCGGUAUCUGCGGGCGCACGCGCCGUGCGCGCCGGUGGGGUACGUGGACUACCUCCGGCUGCUGUACUGCGGGUUCGGGCGGGCGCCAUGGCUGGGCUACGCGGCGCUCGCGCUGUGGCUGCUCGUGCUCUUCUACCUCCUCGGCGACACGGCGUCGGCCUACUUCUGCGCCUCGCUGGAGGGGCUCUCCGCCGUGCUCCGCCUGCCGCCGGCGAUCGCCGGCGUCACGCUGCUGUCGCUCGGGAACGGCGCGCCCGACGUGCUCUCUAGCGUCGUGGCGUUCGCCGCGGGGGCACGCGGCGGCGACGGCGGCGGCGGCGGAGGGGAGGAUGCCGGGGAUGUUGGCCUCAGCGGCGUGCUCGGUGGCGCGCUGUUCGUGUCCACCGUCGUCGCCGGCGUGGUCGCUAUCGUCGCCGGGCGUCGCGGUGGUGGCGAGCCGGUGAUCAUCGAGCGGCGCGGGUUCGUGCGCGACGUGUGCUUCCUCCUCGUGGCGCUCUGCUACCUCCUCGCCGUGCUGCUCACCGGCGCCGUCACCGUCUGGUCCGCCGCGUCGUUCCUCUCCCUCUACGCCGGCUACGUCCUCCUCGUCUGGACCUCGCACUGCUGCGCCAACGCCUCCGACGAACUCGAAGUGGACGACACCAAGCAGCCCACCUCCGACCUCGCCGCGCCGCUCCUCGUCGUCGACGACGACGACGCGUCACCGCCUCCACUCCCCGUCUCCUCCUCCUCCAAGCCCACCUCCGCGCCGAGAACGUUCGCGCGCCGCCUCGUCGACCUCCUCCACUCGCCGCUCUACCUCCCGCGACGCCUCACCAUCCCGGACAUCGCGGCGCACCGGUGGUCGAAGCCCACCGCGGUGGCCACCGCGCUCCUCUCCCCGCUCCUCCUCGCCGCCACCACCGCGCCCACCACCACAGCGACCACCCUCCUCGCCGCCACGCUCGCGGGCGCCCUCCUCGCCGCCGCCGCGGCGGCCACCACGGACGCCGCGUCCCCGCCCAAGAGCCGCUCGGCCCGCCUCCCGUGGCUCGCCGGCGGGUUCCUGAUGUCGGUGCUCUGGUCGUACGUGCUCGCGCGGGAGCUCGUCGCGCUGCUGGUCUCCAUCGGCGUGGCGGCCGGCGUGGAGGCCGGCGUGCUGGGCGCGACGGUGCUGGCGUGGGGGAACUCGCUGGGCGACCUGGUGGCGGACGUGGCGCUGGCGACGCGGCGCGGCGACGGCGGCGCCGGGGCGCAGACGGCGGUGGCGGGGUGCUACGCGGCGCCGGCGUUCAACACGGUGGUGGGGCUGGGGCUGUCGCUGACGGUGGCGGCCGGGGCGCGGCACCCGGAGGCGUACGCGGUGGAGGGCGGGGCGGCGGUGUACGUGGCGGUGGGGUUCCUGGCGGCGGCGCUGGUGUGGGCGGUGGCGGUGCUGCCGGCGAGGGGGAUGAGGCUGGACGCGGUGCUCGGGGUGGGCCUCCUCGUCAUCUACUUCGUCUUCCUCUGCGUCAGCCUCGCCAUUCUCACGCCAUUGCCUUCACCACAUUAACUUCAUUUUUCUUCUUUGCAAAUUGAAUUGCAAAGAUGAUGAUGGUGAUGAUGCUAGAUUGGUUGGGUUGGUUGGUGUCAAGUGUUAAUUUGGGUGAUUAGUUAUUAAUUAAUUGCAUGGUAUUUUGUUCAUGCAGAAUUGGGAAGAUGAAAUGCUUUGUAGUAGUAUAUGACUUGUCAUGAAAUGUAAAUAGAAGAGCACAUAUAGAUGCAAUGAAAUAAUGCAUAGUAGUACUAGCUUUUUCACCGGAAUGGUUGAAUAGUGAGAUGAUUUGUAAUAAUUAUUCGAGCAUAUAGAUGAACAAUUUAAAUACCAUAAAGUUAUAAAAAUGAAUAUGAGAUAGUUUGCUAUAUAUAUAUAUAUAUAUAGUUUUUUUUUUGGAAAACUACGUUAUUUAAAAGUUCAGAAAACGUGCGCAUUCUAUUAGUCUGAAAUAUAUACAAAUUUCCGAAAUGUUUUCUUUUCUCUGUGAGUACGUACUACUGAACUAGUACAGCAUACAGAAUGUGUACUCUACAGUGACUGAAGCGUGUAGCUCGAUCAAACAAUUUGAUUAGCGGAAUUUCGUAGUCAUUAAAUUUGUUUUUAGUGGCUGGGCCACAAUAAUAAUUUGAUUUUAGUUGGACUUGCAGAGUGGAGUCCUUGCUGGGCUUCGUUUUCUAGUUGCAUUACACGAACGUGUAUGAUACGAUACGAUUGCCUAUUUGCCAUGUGCUUCUCACUCUGAUACGAUUCCCAUAUCUGACAUCUAGUAGUCAUCAACUAUAUCUAAUCUCGUGGUUGUGACGAUUAUAUUACUGGUAAUUAGUGACUUAAGAGCUUUGUAAAUUACUUGACAACGAGGCACCAGUGGUCUAGUGGUAGAAUAGUACCCUGCCACGGUACGGACCCGGUUUCGAUUCCCGGCUGGUGCAUUUUGUUCUUCUUUUAUUUUUCACAGUUUUUCAAAUUUUGGCCUGAUUAAAAAAGAAAAUUUUUGGGUGUUACACUAUAUGUCGGAAAGAGUUUUUGACACGAAUGAAAAAACUAAUUUCAUAACUCGCUAGAAAAUCGCGAGACGAAUCUUUUGAGCCUAACUAAUUUGUCAUUAGCACAUGCGGGUUACUGUAGCAUUUAUAACUAAUCAUAGACUAAUUAGGCUCAAAUGAUUCGUCUCGCGAUUUCCUCUAACUGUGUAAUUAGUUUUUUAAUCUAUAUUUAAUGCUUCAUCCAUAUGUCCAAAAAUUCAAUGUGAUAUUUUUAGUAAAAAAAAGUUUUGGGAACUAAACCAGGCCUUUAACACCGAGUUUUUUUUAAAAAAAAUCUUUUUCCCUUAGAAAGGAGAGAGUUUUAUACCCAUCAAAUUUUAAUUCAGAGUUUUUUUAAUUCCUUCUCCCUUAAAAUGAAGAGGAUUUUUGUACCGUUUCCGAGUCGGAGCAGCAGUCUUGCCCUGACUAUUUACGUGCACGUGAUCGAACUCAAACAGUGGAUGGAUCGAUCACCCGGGAUGUCACGGCGGCGGAGGAACGACGGCGGCGAGGCCGAUGGCCGCGCCAGCAAGACGGCGCGGCGGCGGCCGGCGCAGACGAAGAUGAAGCACCUCUACCUGGUGCUCGACGACGGCGACGAGGCUACUACUACUUACACCAUCCACAAGCUCGACGUCGACGACGACGCGGGCAUUAUCCACGCGCCCGACGUCGACCGGCCGGCGACUCGGUUCGCGGCGGCGCCAGCGGCCGGUGGUGGCCAAAUGCACUUCCUCGCCAUGGCCGGGAAGAACAUCGUCGCGGUCGACGGCCAGGGUGGCGGCCCGACGGCCGUGUACGAUACGGAGGCGGCCGCGCUGACGUUCGCGUCACCCCUCCCGGGCCGUCUCUCCUCCUCCGGCGCCGGCCUGGCCGUCGUCGUCGAGGACGGUGGCCACGGCGGCGGCGAGGCGCUUUACGCGCUGACGUCGCUCGGCGAGCGCAUGCCGGCGUCGUUCGAGGCGCUGUCGUGGGCGCGCGACCCUUGCGCAUCGCCGUCGUCGUUGCUGUUCUCCUCCUCCUCCUCGCCGGGGCGCCACUACUACUGGUCCUGGAAGAACGUGGCCGAUACGCCGCCGCCGUUCGCCGAGGAGGAGGCCGUCACCGCCUACGCGGUGCACCCCGACGGCCGCACCAUCUUCGUGUCCACCACCGGCGGCGGCGGCGGCGGCACAUACUCGUUCGACACCGAGCGGCGCAAGUGGCGGCGCCACGGGGACUGGGUCUUGCCGUUCCGUGGGCAGGGCUACUUCGACGGCGAGCUGGACGCCUGGGUCGGGCUCCACAGGGAGGUCCACGGCCGCGUCUGCGCCUGCCAGGUCGCGUCCCGCGGCGGCGCGCGGCCCCCGGAGUACAGAGAGACGCUCGACUACGACAGCGUGUCGUCGUCGAGAAGCAAGAACCGGCGCCAACGCGCCACGCUCACCUACAUGGGCGACGGCAUGUUCUGCGCCGUGGAGACCUGUGAGACGCCGCCGACAUCGUCGUCGUCGUCGGAAGGAGGUGGCGGCGGCGGCGGCGUGGAGGUCCAUGUCACGGUGUUCGGGCUCAAGUACAAUCGCCGGGGAGAGCUGCAGGCGAGGGUUCGCCGCGCCGCCGGCGCGUUCCCACUGCCCAAGCAACAUGUCCCAUCGUUUUCUCCUGUAGCCUUCUGGAUGUAGCAGCUGCUUGCAGAAAUUUUAUUUUUAUUUUUUUAUACUUUUUUAUGUAUUAAUUUUAUUGAUAUACCUUUUGAAAACAUAUUUCCGAAAAUUUUAUGAAGUAGUUUGCUUCUCUUGCAUUACAUUGUGGAAUAUGAUCAGAUCAAUAGUUUCAUGCAAAUUAAAGUCUUACAUGAUGAUAUUUCGGCCACUACACACCAGAUAUUGCCCCCAAAAAAAAUGAUUGCACAAAGUUAACAUAUGGCUGGACAGUAGAUUUCACCUUUUCUUUUUAUAGAUGUCCCCCAGCUUCUAUUAAACUUCAACAGAUGUACACACACAAAAAGCAAAGUCUACUGGGUAUAUAUACUUGUUUACAGUACACAACAGACUCAAUAUUGCUAUAGUAAAAAAACACUCAUAUCCACACCAAAACACCACCCAACAUCUGAAUCCCUGGAAUCAUUCACAAGCAGCAAUCAACAUGGUUAGCAGCUUCUGAGUAUUACAGAUUGCAUUGAUGUUUAAAGAAAGACCUUAAGCCUCUUCCGGAUUGUGAUAUAAAAAAAAGGCCAACACACAAAAGGCUAGCGCGUCUGGUAUAUUAGAAGUAGCACAUGCAAAAUCGGUUCAUGAACAUGCAAAAGGCUUCCAGGUUGUGAUAAGCUCCACUUUCAAUAUACUUGUACAUAAGAGAACAACAAUAAAGUUGAACUGGUAAGAAUGGCUGUGGCACAUGCGCACAAAUUCACAGACAAAUGAGUAGAGAGUUUGGUCAUAGUAAGGGGGUGUUCGGGAGAGAGGGGCUAUUAGCCCCUCUCUAAAAAAAACAUAAGUCCUUCUCAUAGGGAUUUAUGUUUUUGUGAGAGGUACUAAAGUUUAGCCCCAGUUUAGUCCCUCCAACCAAACACCACCUAAGGAAUCAUGAAUACCAUCACGAUCCUUCUGUACAGACUGGCCUUAAGUGACUGAAAAAGGUGUUUCAGUGUCUGCCCUGAAUAAGCUGAAUUGUGCAGGGCUUCAAUUCGCGUAUAUGAACAGAGUGUUGUCAGGGAAAUGAUCAGUUGAGUUCUUUCAAUGUCACUUGUAAAUGUCUGCUGUCUUCGUGGUCAACCUUUUGGAUUCCAGAAUCUGUGUGGCUUUUAGUGAAUUGACCUGAACAUUAGCACAAGAAAUCAGAUGUAUCAAACAAAUGCGUACAUGCGAAGGUCUGAUUUUUGCUAGAGUCUACAGAUUCACUACACACCAAAAGCAGCCAAUGGUAUAAUACUAUAAUGCAACUAAGAAAGAAUAUGAAGAUUAGAAGACAAGCAGUACUCACUUUAGCGUAUAUCCUUGCUUAAACAUCACCUUCUGGAAAUCGCCCAUGAGUCUUGGAAAAUUCUGUGCAACUAUAAGUACAAAUACAUCCUCUUUUGCUCUUGCACUGUGCUGCCUGAUGUUUCUGAGAAGUUUAAGAAGGCCACAAAUGUCAUCAGAAUAAUAAGCUUUCCUUCCUGUGGCAGGAUCAAUGAAAUCAAGUGUUUCCUUCAAAUGCGUAUUUCCAUCUGGAGCUUCAACACCCUUCUUCCAUUUGGUGUAUUUACUGAGUUUGGUCUUAAUUUUCUCGUACGUUGGAUUAUCUGUUGUCUCCAUUUUCUCAAACAUGUUAUGGAGAGACAUGAAGUGGGCAGCUGAUCUAUAUCCAUCCUUCAAAGUGAUAUAGUCCUCUGCUAAACUGUCAUAACCUCUGGCACAACGAUCAAUCAGCUCAAUCCACUGUAUAAUGUCCAAAGGCAAAGUGGUGACCGAAACAAAUACCUCCUCGCGAGUCAUCUUCACAAAUCUAUCUGUAUCCUUUUCAAUGUCACCAUCCUCAAGCUUGUUAAUCACUCCCUUUGACAGAUUACCAAAUCUCAUGUUACCACAGGUAUCCAUUAGAAAAUUUUCCGAUGUAAAAUGGCCACCAAAUGUCAGUCCAGCCCAGUGAAAAUUCUUGAGUAGUACAUAUGCGUUCCUGAUCUUGCAUUUCACUUCAUUUGACGUUGUGUAAGAAAUAUGUCUACACAUAUUCUUCUCUUCUUCUUCAGUUGAUGUGCUUGCUCCUUCCUUCGGUUCUAGUGGAUUUGUCCAUGGAAUCUGUUCCGGUGGCGACUUGACUUGAGGUGUUAUGGUUUGAAGAAUUAACCUGUCCUUAUUGAACUUGCAGUAGUUCCUCAGGCUGGUAUACAUUGUUUCAUCCAUUUUGCAGACGAAAAGAUUAUGGUUUAGAUGGUAUGCCUUUUCUUCAAAUGCCCUGUCAUACUCAAGUUUCCUUCUUACAGAUCUUCUUUGGUAACCAUAACAUGGUCUUAAUUUUUUGCUUGUUGAUACGAUAGUGUCCCUUGCACCUUGACUUGUUGCUGGAGUCUUGAUUAGAGCUUGAAUAGCCUGUAAAUUAUUUGCCAUCACAAUGAUUAACUAAGAUCAAUUGCCAAAAUAACAAUCAGCAGAUGUGUUUCCAUGUCAAAUUUUUUUUUCACAAGAUAACCAAUCAACAGAUGCAGCUAUUUGCCUAUCAAGACAUUCAAAUUCAGCAUAUGAGCAGAUAAUACAUUCUAGGACAAAUCUUUAAAUGUAGCAAUGCAAAAUUAGUGCUCGCUACCUUCUUGAGAGAGAGAGAGAGAGAGAGAGAGAGAUGCUAGCUACUUACAGGUGCAUCAUUUUCUGGGAUCUUUAUUCCUUUUAUAUAGCAGUCGUCAAUCCAUUGGAUGUUAACCACCUUCUUGCCUUCACCGUUCCAUAUCAGAACAGCUCCCUCCGAAUAGUCUCCCUAGCAAUUUGAAUUAAAUGUCAAGAACGAAACAUGUGUUACACUAAUAAAAAUCGGUAGUAAUUUUUUUACCGCCAUAGCAACAUGAGUGCAGAUGUCAUAGUCUAUUGAUUGCAGUACGAAGCCUCCUAGUACUUCAAUUUUCCUUUUGCUCUGCAUCAUUUAGUUCAGAAUGUUAAUAAAACCUGGAGGAAGUAAAUUGUUAUCAAUGGACUCCCAUGCUGACAAGCCAGCCAUAUUAGUGGUAGAAACCAAAAUGACAUGCUGCACAAUUUUACAGGGUUUCAAAAUUGAACGCAGAUAAAUCUUACAGAGCCAAUCAACAAAAUUAGAUACGAUUCGACUAACAAAAUUCGAUAAAGGAACCUUAGAUACAUUAGUGAAGUAUAGAUUACUCCUCUAAUUCGUUAUCAGGAAAAUAUAUGGAGAUAAAUCCUCUAAUUCUUUAUCAGCUUGUACCCUUCAGGCCCAAAGAAAGGGAAGGACAAGUCACAAAACUCACCAGAUUCUCAAAUAGACAAGCAGUUUGGAAUUUUGGUGCAUACUAGGAAUAUGGCUUGCUUAGAAGGAGUAAAUACUAAGGGGCUGUGUAGCAGAAAACUAAGAUGGACUGGAAAUGAGUGAUUGUGUGAUAUGUUCCCUACUGUUGAUAAUCAUGAGCGUAAUGUUUCAAUCUUCAGAGCACUGCUUUCAGGUAGAAAGAACGCAAUCUUUUCGCGGAAAGUAUAUAAAAUGGAACUUGUUUUUUACCUUGACAUUAGAUGAGAUGGCAUAAAUAUCAAAAUAUGCACACGCUGAAAAUGCAGUACGAAAAGGAGAAGUUCCUGAGAAGAUCUGGUUGACAGACACAAUACUUCUGUAAAAUUGCUGAUAUGUUCAAUUUAGUUUAAAUUUCAUCAUUCCAUAAAAGUCACAUGUGUAGAUUCCUUAACCUGCUGAUAAUUUGACUUCAUCCUGAUAGCCUAGGCACCGAUAAUUAAUCUUUAAAAAACAAGUGUAAGGAACGGGAUGUGUGCUGUGUGCAUGUUGUGGCCUGAACUAAGGCAGUAAAAAUCAAUUAAGCUCGAUGUCCAGUUCCGCAUUUCCCUUAAACCCUAACUCUGCAAUUCGAUGAAAUUGGGGAACACACGCCGACAUGUGAAUUAUGAGCAACUAGAACUGGGGACAUUAUCUCACCUGUUCUUUUAGAAGGUGUGGGAAUCCGUGAAGUAUGAAACGCAUCCCGGCGAAAGGGCGAUUGAUUCUGCCCCCGCGAUCUGCUCCCGCCGCUGAUCCCUCGCCGCUGAUAUGGCCUCGCGCCUCGAGAUCGAUCCCCGACUCCUCAUCGCCGCUUCGGCGUCCAAAUCCGCCGCCGCUUCGGGCUCCUCCCCCGGCCGUGGAUGUAUCCCCCGGCACCGCCUUGUUCUUGAGCCCCGCCGCGUAUCUCCCCACCACAGCCGCCGCCGCCGCAAACGAUUUCUCCCCAUCCGCAGCGGACCGCUUCCCUGUCUCUGCCUUGACCUUCAGCCCCACCACCGGCUUGCGCUCCUCCACCUCCCCCGCGUAUUUCCUCCUCGACCCCACCUCUUCUCCAUCCACCACCGCCGCGUCGCACCCCUCCUGCUUCACGGUGGCUUUGCUCCGCGCCACCGCCGCGUCGCAUCCCUCCUGCUUCACGGUGGUUUUGCUCCGCGCCACCGCCGCGUCGCACCCCUCCUGCUUCACGGUGGUUUUGCUCCGCGCCACCGCCGCGUCGCACCCCUCCUGCUUCACGGUGGUUUUGCUCCGCGCCACCGCCGCGUCGCACCCCUCCUGCUUCACGGUGGUUUUGCUCCGCGCCACCGCCUUCGCUUCCCCCCCCCCCCCCCCUCUCCGACCGCCACGGCUCCCUCCUCCGUCGCCGCUUUGGCCCGCGCCUCCGCCUCCGCCACCGCCACCGCCGCCGCCGCCGCCGUAGCGGGGUCCCAUCAGCGGCGGCAUGACCUAGCCGCGGCGCUUGGCGAAUUGGGGGCGAACUGCGAGAAGCGAGCGGGAGGAGGCGAGAGGCGAAAGGGGAGGGGAGACGAGCGGGAGGGAGCGGAAAUUUCGAGUUCGUUGGGCUAUUGGCUACUUGCUGAGCUGUCCUUUCGUUUUGUCUACCCGGUCCGGAUGGGGCCUUGUGGGUUUUUCACUUUUUCUUUUUCUUUCCUUUUCUCUCUCUCUGUUUUUUUUUGUGACGAUGGGAGUAAUAAAACAGUAAAUUCCUUCUAUUUUCUUGCGGUGAAAAAUUCCUUCAGAUAUCAGUAUCACGGCCAAAGGUGCCACAAACCUACUGAAUUUAGGCGGUUCCAAAAACAAAAAUUUCUAUGCUAUAACAUCGAAUGUUUGAUACAUGCAUAGAGUAUUUAAUGUAGGCAAAAAGAAAAAAUCAUUACACAUAUUGCAUAUAAAUUGCGGGACGGAUAUUUUAAGCCUAAUUGUAUCAUGAUUUGACAAUAUGGUGCUACAGUAAAUAUUUGCUAAUGACGGAUUAAUUAGGCUUAAUAAAUUGUUUUGCAGUUUCCUGACGGAAUCUAUAAUUUAUUUUGUUAUUAGGCUACAUUUAAUAUUUUAAAUAUGUGUCCGUAUAUCCGAUCUAACAACCAAACCCAAAAAUUUUCCCCAACUAAACAAGCCCUUAGGUGGUGUUUGGAUCCAGCGACUUAAUUUUAGUCUCUGUAUUUAGACACUAAUUUAGAGUAUUAAAUAUAGACUACUUACAAAACUAAUUACAUAAAUGAAAGCUAAUUUGCGAGACAAGUUUUUAAGCCUAAUUAAUCCAUAAUUAGAGAAUGUUUACUGUAGUAUCACAUAGGCUAAUCAUGGAUUAAUUAGGCUCAAUAGAUUCGUCUCGUGAAUUAGUCUAAGAUAAUGGAUGGGUUUUAUUAAUAGUCUACGUUUAAUAUUUAUAAUUAGUGUCCAAACAUCCGAUGUGAUAGGGACUUAAACACGUUGAACGGUACUCCCUUCCUCCUAAAAUAGAAGGAAUUUUGGGUGAUGUGACAUACUAUCCUAUACCUUAUAAAUCUGAACGCAAAUCCUUUAUAUUUUGAGGCGGAGAAAGUAUUACUAAUUAGUACUAAUAUUUCGUUGCGGCAACAUACUGACAUGUACAUACGCAGCCCGCCUUGUCAGGUUUGCCACCAUCAGCCACUACCUUCUCACCACAAGCUCCGUAUACCCCACCGACAACAUCGACACACCGCUGCGUGCUCGUCGGUCAGCUGAAGGAAGAUGAUGCCCCUAUGUGGAGAUAGAGGUGGUGUGUGGCUUCCGUUUUCCAGCGAUGGUGGUGCGGCGAGGGGCCAGGAAUGAUAAUGAUAAGGUGAAUUAGGCUUGGGUAGCAGCGGCUAUUCACAUUAAUUAGACGACUGUACGGCUCGGGCAUCCAAUCAAUUUGGAGAAAAAUAGAACGCUGAUGUCAGCGCCCAAUUUACGUGCAAAACUAUUUUAAACUGAUUUUUCUCUUAAUUACUUAUCUAAAUCAUUAUCCGAUUGUACCAUUAAAUUCGUUGCAAUUAAAUCUUUAAAACAAGACCACACAUGGAUAUAUUCCGACGAAAUUUUUUUUAGCUUAUUAUUAAAUUAUUUUAAAUAUUGCACGAUGUUCAACCAAGUAUAUCGGAAUUGAUUCACUUAGUAGAUCGAAAAUGUUUCGCUUGUUUAAAUCAGGUGUUGUUUCACCGUAUAUAAAAAUAAUGUUUCAGCAAAUAGCUAAAGAAUGUUUUAGUUCACAGCAACAUUUGAUCCAUACGUAGUGAAACAUUAUAAGUACACUAGGUGAAACAUUUUUCGGUGGAAUAAAAAAUAAAACGAAUUCCCUUAAUAGGGGUUCCCAAAAUAUAUAGGUUUUUUUGUUAUAAUGAAAUAUUUCAGUUUACUGCAACAUUAGAUCUAUACAUAGUGAAACAUUGUGAAUACACUUGGUGAAACAUUUUGGGUAAAAAAAAUAAACCAAAUUUCCUUAAUAUAGAGUUUUCAAAAUAUCUAGUUGAUUUGUUGUAGGUGGAGACAGGUACUGUAGUGGGCCUAGCGGCAUGCACCGCGCACAGGGGGCGGGGUAGAGGUGGCCAAAUGGGCCGGGCCAAACGGGCGGCCCGCGGCACGGCCGUUCCUGUAGCAGGCACGGCCCGGCACGGCCUGCUACAGUAACGGGCCGUGCCGGCACGGCCCGUGUAGCCGUGCCGUGCUUGGGCCGCUGGCCGAGCCCGCGGGCCGGCACGGCACGGCACGGCUCCUGUAGCAGGCCGGCACGGCACGGCCCGCGGCACGGCACGGCCCGGGCGGCCCGUCAGGCCGAAAGCGCCGGCGGCGCGUGACAGGGCGGGCGGCGGUCCAACGGGAAGGCGACACGUGGCACUAACGGCUAUUUGACCGUUCAAAUUUGAAAAUAACCGUUGGGAGGCUAAAAAAUUCAUAAAAAAUUCGAAAAAAUUCCAAAAAAUCUCAAAUUUCGCCCUAUAAAUAGGGCAUGAACCCCAGCCAUUUCUCCUCAUCCCACACUCCUCAUCUUGUGCUCUCAAGUGUUUUAAGUGCUCUCUUUGUUCUCAAGUGUGCAUUUUUUUUUAUUUUGACAAAAUUUGCUCAAAUUUUGUCAAAAAUCAAAAUUAGUUUCGUAGUUCAACAGUUUGAUCGCAGAGGUUUGAAGAGCUCGCGGUUGGAAAGAUGUAAGUAAUAUUCAAAUUUGUGUAUUAUUUGUAUUGUGUUUGUGAAUUCAAUAAAUAUUCGAAAAUUUGUUUAUGUCGGUUUAAAUUUUCAGAAUGGAUCCGAACUUUCCAUACCAGUCGCCGUCGUUCACCUUGGGUGAUUUCGACCCCAACUACAUGUCGGGGUUUGACGGUACCUCCGGAUCGGCUCCAACUCCACCAUCUGUGGAGGAGGUACCGGUUCAUACGGCUGUCGUUGAGGAGGUACCGGUUCAGGCGGAGACAGCUUCGGAAGGAUUUUCCGGAACCGCGAGCGGAAGUGUUUCGACACACACCAGCUCGAAGAGAUCGAGAACCUCCGGUGUGUGGCAAAGCUUCGACGAGAUAAAGGAAACAUGCCCCGACGGAAGGGAGAUAUCGAAAGCCCGUUGUAGAAUAUGUAGGCAAAUUUUAUCUGCUCGUUCUUCUGGUGGUACAGGUCACCUCAAGCGCCAUGCGGAGUCGUGUGCCAAGAAGCAAGGAAUACAACUCCGGCAGCAGCAACUUAUGGUAAACCCAGACGGUACGGUACGCAGUUGGGAGUACGAUCCCAUGGUUGCUCGGGAAUCUCUUGUCCGGUUAAUCGCCAGGCAAGAUUUACCCCUGAACUUUGGGGAGUCCCCUGCUUUUGAACAUUACAUUCAGCAAUCUCAUAACCCUAGGUUUAAAGCUGUGAGUAGGCAAACAUCAACUAGAGAUUUAGAGAAUGUUUAUCACAAGGAAGCAACUGCACUUAAGGAACUGUUUAGUACAUGUACUUUCUCUGUUUGUGUUACUUCAGAUAUAUGGAGUAGUAGAGCUAGAGAGGAUUAUCUUAGCGUAGUUGUUCAUUUUGUUGAUGUGAUGAUUGGCAAUUACAAAAGAGAGUUUUAGGGCUUAGGUUAAUAGAUGUCUCACAUACAGGAGAAAACAUAGCUGAAAGAAUUAGGGAAGUAAUUAAUGAAUUUAAUCUUGCUGAUAAAAUAUUUGCUGUCACCCUAGAUAAUGCAUCUGCUAAUUCUAGAGCUAUUGAAAUAUUGCAACCUUUAUUUUGUGUGUAUGCUCAAUCUUUUCUACUCCAUCAGCGUUGUGCAUGUCAUAUAAUUAAUUUGAUUGUUAAGACUGGCAUGAAGAGGGUAGGUGACCACAUCGAUGCUGUUCGUCAAGCAAUCGCGUGGUUAACUGCUUCUAACCCGCGGAUUGCUGCAUGGAAGAGGUUUUGCAAUGCGGCCGGUGUGGAAGCUCGUAAGUUUGCCACCGAUGCAGAGCAUCGGUGGAAUGCAACGUAUUUAAUGUUAAAAGUUGUUUUACCUUAUAGUAGUUUACUUUCUGAUUUUGUUCAGUCACGUGGUGGCCCAAGAAACAGUGACGGGUCUUCAGUACUGAACGAGCAUGUUUGGGCAAUUGUACAAAAAUUUUACCAAUUUCUAGAAACUUUUUAUGAUUGUACUCUAACUUUGUCACAUGUUUAUUAUCCAACUGCUAAUAUAAUUUUGCACAACCUUCUUGAAAUUGCUACUUUAUUUAAAGAAUACGAAAAUGAUGACGUUCUAACUGAACCUGUCUUUCACAUGAAACAAAAAUAUUUGAAAUAUUGGAAAAAUAUACCUAUGUUGUAUGCUCUUGCUUUUGUUUUAGAUCCUAGGUGUAAAUUAAGGGGAUUGUCUGCUAUUUUAUCACUUGUUGGAGAUACUAUAGGUGUAGAUUAUAGUUCUUUUUAUACUGAGGUUAGACGUAAAUUAUAUGAGGUUUUUGGAAGAUAUGAAGUAAAGUUUCAGGAAGUUCGCCAGCGGAGACCCCCUCCUAUCCCCACUACAGGUAAGAAGAAGAUACAGUGGGGUAGGAUUUGGGGUGGAUCGUCUUCAAGUUCAAUCCAAGGUGGUGGCAGUUCGUCGGCUACAAGUGGAGACGCCUCUUCGCAUGUUGUGGCCGAAGAGUUGUCCGGUUAUUUGGACAGCGACGCCAUCCACCACGAAGCACAAGAUUUCAACGUCCUCGGGUGGUGGAAUGACCACAAGAUAACAUAUCCUGUGCUUUCAAAACUAGCACGGGAUGUGUUGACGGUGCCCGUGUCGACGGUGUCCUCCGAAUCGGCCUUCAGUCUAUGCGGCCGAAUCAUCGAAGACCGGAGGACGACUCUGCGCAGCGACCACGUCGAAAUGCUACUAAGCGUUAAAGACUGGGAGCUUGCUCGACAACAUGCCCAAUACACUGCGGACAACCAAGAAUUGGCCGCCCACUUCGAGCAACUCUACCUGGAUCCAGACCAACCCCAGUAGAAUUUUGUUAGAAGUAAGUUCUGACCUUUGAGCUGUACUCUUUUCUUUGUCAUGGUUUUCUCAUUUUCCCCUAUGAGUUUUUACAUGACAAAGUUUUUAACGAGGCAGCAUGUAUCAUUGUAUCCUGUAAUGAUAUAAACAUUAAUAAAGGUCAUUACUAUUUUUAACAAAUUCUUUUGCAAUAUUUUCGCAAGUGUGGAUUUACCUUUAAAUUAUUUCAAAAUAAUGAAUCACAAUCUAUAUUUUUAAAUUUUUCAACACAACAAAAAAAUACCAUUUUUUCUUUUUUUUUAACAUUACCAAAUCAUUACUUUUUUAAAAAACUUUUAUUUCCAUUUUUUAAAUACCAUUUUUUCAUUUUUUAACAUUAGUAAAUCAUUACUUUUUUUUAAACAUUUUAUUUCCAUUUUUAAUUUUUUUUUCCUUAUACAUUUCCUUUCCUUUUUUUUAAAAAAAAAAAAACACUGUGCACGGCCCGUGGCCCGAACGGCCCGUGGGCCGCGGGCGUGCCGUGCCGGCACGGGCACGGCCCGGCCAUCCACGGGCCGUGCUUGGGCCGGCGGCUCGGCACGUGGGCCGGCACGGCACGGCCCGUUUCAUCAGCCGUGCCUAACGGGCCGUGCCGAAACGGGCCGUGCCGGAACCGUGCCCGUGCCGGGCCGGGCCGUGCCGCCCGUUUGGCCACCUCUAGGGCGGGGGCGGGGGGAGCGUUCGAUUUUUGCUCCCCCCCCCCCCACCCGGUUGAUCGGAUAGAAUCAUUAUCGGGAAUGAUAAUGAUAAGGUGAAUUAGGCUUGGGUGGCAGCGGCUAUUCACAUUGAUGGAGUAGAAGAGCAAUGUCUAGUGGAUUUGCAGCAGAAACCAUAGGAGCCCACCAGAUAGGCGGAUAGGAGGAAGAAAUCAAAUUUGUACUAGUACAUUUUUAUGAGUUUUUAAUGUUUCAGAAAAUGCAUCUUUCUUGGGUUGGAUUGAAACGUUGUCCUUGAUACUUCGAUGGUGUUUCAUAUUUUUGUUUAAGAAUCUUGUAAUUGGUUAAUGUUCCAUAUGUGAAAAUAAUAGUACGUUUCAAUACAUGAAACAUUUUUCAGGUAGCGGUAAAACAUCGCCCAAAUUUUAAAGAAAAAAAAAGGUUAAAAUCAAACACUCGAUUUGCUGUCGCCUCCCAGCAUUCCUGAACUUGGAGAAAGUUUGUCCGAAACAACGGCGUCACACAGCGCGUCCGACUCCGUUUCUCCUGUAGGUCGAGUCGGAGUCGGUUUCUCACCCCAUGUAACCCAUGUUCGAAUCGGAUUCGGACACUACAACCGCCAUAACUACCUCGGCUAUAUAUAUGCAAUGCACGUGUAAUCAAAGUGGAUCAAACCAUCCAUCUAGCUCGCGCCCAAACACCGAUCGCUCGGGAUGCCUAGGCGGCGGCGGGACGACGACGACGACGACGGCGGCGAGGCCUACCGGCGACAUCACCACGACAAGAGGCCGCGGCCGCCGGCGCCGCCGCAGCAGAAGCAUCUCUACCUGGUGCUCGACGACUGGGACAGAGGCUACAGCAUCCACAAGCUCGACGUCGACCUCGACGACGCCGGGGUUAUCCACGGCGGCGGCGGCGGUCCAGCCGUCCGGUUCGCGGCGCCGAGGUCGUCGUGCGACGCGCGGUUCUUCCCCAUGUGCGGCGACAGUGUCGUCAUGGUGUCCGACGCGGCGCCGACGCUGGUGUACGACACGGGCGCGGCCGCGCUGACGGUCGAGUCGCCGCUCCCCGGCCUCCUCGCCGGCGGGAUGGCCAUCGCCAUGCCCGGCGGCGAGAGGCUGUACGCGCUCACGUCUCUCGGCGAGCGCUUCCCUCGCGCCUUCGAGGUGCUGUCGACGGGCGGCGGCUGGUCGUGGAAGAACGCGCCCGUGGCGCCGCCGCCGCCGCCGGUCGAGGAGGCCGUCGCCGCCUACGCGGUGCACCCCGACGGCCACACCGUCUUCGUCUCCACCUCCGGCGACGGCGGCGGCGGCACGUACACGGUGGACACCAAGCGCGGCGAGUGGAGGCGGCACGGUGGCUGGCUCCUGCCGUUCCAUGGCCAGGGCUUCUUCGACGCCGAGCUCGACGCCUGGGUCGGCCUCCCGCGCCACGGGGACACCAUCUGCGCCUGCCAGGUCCCGUCCCGCGGCGGCGCGCGGCCGCCGGAGUGGGACACCAUGGACGAUGACGACGUGGUGCCGUCGUGGAAGAAGAGCCGCCGCCGCCCCGGCGGCCGUCGACGCGCCACGCUCACCUACAUGGGCGACAGCAAGUUCUGCGUCGUCGACUGCGUGGAAUGCGACGGCGACGACGGCGGCGGCGUGGUCACGCCGCCGCAAUGUGAGGUCCAUGUCGCCGUGUUUGGGCUCAAGUACAACCGGCGGGGAGAACUGAAGGCGACGGCUCGCCGCGCCGCCGGGUCGUUCCGAGUGCCCAAGCAUUUCUCAUGGUUCUCUCCUGUGGCCUUCUGGAUGUAGACGAAGCCAUAUAUAAGCAAAAAACUGCAAUGCAAUCUACAAUAUAUAUUGCGAUUCAGAUCAAGGAAAAAAGAAAACUAACAUUCAGAAUGCUAAUCAAACAGUGCUUUCCUUUCAGUGAAGUGUAGCAUUCUACAGUGCUUUAGGGGGUGUUUAUAUACAGGGGUGUAAAGUUUUGGCGUGUCACAUCGAAUAUUAUAUAGGGUGCUGUAUGGGGUGUUCGGACACUAAUAAAAAAUAAUUACAGAAUCCGUCAGUAAGCCUCGAGACGAAUUUAUUAAGCCUAAUUAAUCCGUCAUUAGCCGUCAGUAAGCCUCGAGACGAAUUUAUUAAACCUAAUUAAUCCGUCAUUAGCAAAUGUUUACUGUAACACCACAUUGUCGAAUCAUGUAGCAAUUAGGCUUAAAAAAUUCGUCGCAAAUUAGUCACAAUCUGUGAAAUUACUUAUUUUUUUAGCCUAUAUUUAAUACUUAUCAGGUGUUUAAACUUUUGAUAUGACAGGGUGUAAAAUUUUUGGGUGAGAUCUAAACAGUCCCUUAUUUAUAGUUUCUCAAAGUUCAGUCAUAUGCUUGUAAGAAUGUAAGUUGUAUAAUAUCCUUUUUGAGUUUUGACAACCAUUAAUACAAUGGAUACAAUGGAGAGUUUUAUCUGCAUUUUGAAAUAAACAAGAAAGAAAUUCAAUGUAACAGAGUAUCUAGUCCCAGCAACUAGUUACACAUGCAUGCUGUCCUGUAAUGCCACAAUCUUAACUCACACAAGAUGCUAACCAUGUUGAUUGUUUGAAUCACCGAUUACAGAGAACAAGGGUUUCAAACGGCCGGUUUAAAUUGAGAAAACCAACGUUUGCAGCGGAAGAUAAAAAACCUGGUACCCAUGAUACCAAGAACGUGCUGCCUUGUAGUACUGAAACUUCUUAUCAUAGCAGAGAACUUCAACUUCCAUGCUGAUACAUAACACUAAGGAUUUUUAUGACCACAUAAGAGAAAAGUACAUCCAGAAAUGGUACAACUUUUUAACCAUUCCAUCACCUUAUCACAGAAUUUACACCAUUCAAAGUCAUCCAUGUAAACUGCUGCCUAUAAUUUCUGUAUACUAAAGAUUGCCACCAUACAAUUCCUGAAAAAACGGAUGGCUUGAUGCACAUCGCAAAACAAACAGAUAUGUUUAUGUAGGAACAACAUAAGGCUCUUUGUAGUCCUUCCACCAAGGAAAGAAGAGAGCAAUGAUUGCCACAACAAAAACGAAAAGAAAAACUGGAUAGUGAGAACGGUUUGCAUUUCUUUUCUUGCCUCCAGUCUUCUUCUCAUUCACAGCUUGACAUUCUUGACAUGGAGAUUUGGCUGCACCAUCAAAAUCCUCAUCAUCAUCGUCAGCCGGGAACUUCAAAUCUUCUAUUAGGGCAUCAGUGUUUUGCAUAUGGCAUUGAUUUUCCUGCCGAAUUGAGUCCCAAAAUUCUUUUCUUUCCUUAAGCUCACUGUUUUUUCUGAACUGAAGAAUAUUAGUACCUGGCCCUGAGCAGUGUUGUAUAGCUGGACUUUCAAGUGGUGGGUGACCAUCUUGUUCUGGGUCUCUACAGAAGGUGCAAGAAUGGAGUUGCUUUCUUGGAGUAGAAUUCAUCCUCAUGUCACCUGAUAAAACCUGUGCCCUGGAUAUCUGAAAUAAAACAUGAGACAAAGUGAGAGAGAUGUAAAUUCAUUUAAUUCUAAGGAAGUUAUGUCUUCAACCCAAAAUCAUGUCAAAUAUAAACCACUGAAAGACAAAUCUUCAGCACGCUAAUGAAAAUGCAUAUCCAAACAAUUAACAUAUAUGUGGAUGGUAUAUGAAAGUGACAUCAAAAUAUGUUCAUGCUAUUUGGGGCUAAGGAAUGGAAAUAAUAUGUUAAAGAAAAGCAAGUAUUUAAUCAUACAACACAUUUGACAUUUUAAGUAGAUCAAAGCUGCUAUGAGUUUCUGCCGCAUACCUGAGAGCAGUGAUUCGUUUCAUGCGCUGCUGAACAGACAUAACAUGGGCCAGCAACUCUUGUUGGCACAUCUGACAACCUCCUGUCUGGCUUAAUUGGAUCAACAGAGCUGAAAUGUGCCAUCAAACCUGAAGCCUCAUGACUAUCUGGAAUAACAGUGCGAAAUAAGUCAUGAUUGGACAUUCCAUGUGAUUUGUCAGAUUUGUUACACCAUAGCUGCCGCCUUGCACGUGUGCUUCCAGAACCACAUUGUCCCACUGAAUGUUGAGAAUCAAAAUCAGUAGACAAAUGAACAGAGUUCAGGUCACAAGAAUGUGAAUCACAUGAACCAUCGUCUCUGAUAUCCGCAUCAUCCAUGAGAGAAUGUGAAUAUGAACCCUUUCUGCCAUUUCUUACAGAAUAGUUUGCUAACUGACUCAAAUUAUUGUCAUGCCCACUCUCUUUUUGCCUGCCAACAAGUAGCUUAGCAGUCUCAGAUGCCUCGAAAGCUGCAAUGCUGAUGGCUGGCAUAGUGUCGUCCUGGAAUUGUUCCAUAGCAUGGAUAAUACUACUGAUCUCAGAAGAUAUAAUGCCUAGAUCCAAACCCUUCAUGAUGGAAUGUAUCAUUUGAAUCGAUGAAAUAAUCAUCUGAGAACUGCUUGCCUUAGCACUCUCAUCCAGUAUCUGUAAGCCCGAUCGAAUCAAAGAUCGGCCAUAAGGCUCAAGCAUCAGUGGAUUUUGUGUCAGCAAAACAACCACCAAGUUUAAGUGCGCGAUACUCUGAGCAUGCGCCUCCUCUAGGGCCCCUGAGACUUUCAAGCAGACAUCAUUAACCAGCUCGUUAGACGCAAACCGCCAGUUGUUGGAUUGCACAAGCGCGGCGACACAAAGAGCAGAGCCAAAAGAGUUGCUCUCCACCUUAGUGCUCAUCAGACAAUCUGCAAAGGGACGACAAAGCGAGCCAAUGAUCGCGCUUUUCAACGCUUCCGUCGCCAGAGGAUCAACAACGUACCGCGAUAGCGCGCAAACAACCUUGGAGCAACCAACGGCAUUCCGCGAGGACAUCAUCCUAACGAUUGCCGAGACGAUCAGGGCGAUGUGCGGCACAAUCUUGCGGCCGUGCGCUUGCGCGGCGGUCUCGAAGAUGCACAGCAUCUCCUCCUCGGAGAAGGAGCAUGGCUUCACGGGGUCACAAACGCGGGCAAGAAAUGGCGGGAGCGUGUUCGAAUCAAGCUCCUUCACAUACUGUCUCAGGCCACUGAAGGCAGCCUUGUUGGUAAGGGGAUCCAUCACCAUCAGAGAGAGCGCGCCCCCUGUCGAUACGAAAUCCAGCAUCAGAGAUUGCCGCAACUCGCAAUCGAUUCAACCGCCCACAAAUAUUUUCUAUGGAGCAAAGAACUAAAACUACUACUCCUAGUCCUAACAAGGGUUUAAGGCAAAGAGGAAAGAGCUUCGAAACCUAGAAGAGGGGAGAAAGAGCGGAGAGGGAUGAGAGGGAUACGGGGUGCUCACCGGCGGCGAGCGGAAGGAAGAGGAAGUGAGCAGGAGGGGGACGACGCCGGCAACGCUGCUUCACCCUCGCGGGAUGGAGAUCGGCGGCGGAGGAAGGCGGCGGGGCGGGGCGGGGCGAAGUCGAUCUCCGCCUCCGGGAGUCGGGUCGAGUAGGGCCGUCGGUAGGAGUCCCAGGCCCAUUAACGCAAAGGCGGUAUGGGCAUUUUUAGUUACCCAUGGCCCAACUUGUCGCUAUUAAUCUGGACAUAGUUAAUAUCUAGAUUCAUAAUCAGAAGUUGUUUAUGUCUAGAUUUGUUGAUAAAAGUUAGUUUAUUUUGAGACGGCGAGAAUAAAUCUAGAUGUUUUUUUAGAUACAAGAAAAGCGGUGCAUACUAGGGUCUGCUAGCCUCUCAAAUCAAAUGCUAAGUCUUUAUGGUUGAAGUUGAAGUGAGCUCGAUGAAUCGUUGAUGCAUUUCUUUUAAGUUGCCCUAAUGGCUCAGUGGGCCAGAUAGCUUGGGUGCAACCAAAUAGGUCAGAGCUAUUGUUUUUCCAACCUGGUCUAGACUUGUCUGAAUAGUUUGUUUUUCAAAUGGCUGGUCAAUUUGUUAUAUACAAAUUUGACGCGUAGGACAAUGAAUUUGUCCAGCUCAACUUCAAUAGGCUGAAAUGACUAGGCAAGCUGGACUAUCCGGAUGAAGUUGAUCACCAAUGGACCGAACAAGUCUAGGCAAUGUACUUUCUAUGGGUUGGAUUAGCCAAACAAUCACCAGCUAGACAGUCCGGUGAAGAUCGAACUAUCUGCCCUUUUAUAGCGCAACUGCUAGUUGUUUCAGUGACCAUCGCAAAAGUUUAAAGGGUUAGACUAUGUCCUAUGCACUUCAAAGGCAAUGUUUAAAAAUGGCUAGUUUGUGUAGUUGAGGUAUAAAUAUACAGUGCUAGUCGAGACUAAAUACUCUAUGCUAUGUACCUGUUCCUAUCUCUUGGAUAACAUUGCAACUUGAGAUAACUCGUGGAGGACUUAAGCUUUCAGAGUGAUUACUUGAGCGAGGUAGUGGCUUUGUACGCACUCACAAAAGAGUAGUGCUGAGUAGCUUCAAGUGAAGUUUUCAUCUUGUUAUUCAUGGCAUCUCUUAAGGAUUUUGUGGAAGACCCGAUGAUCUUGGGAAAGGCUUGGAGAGUUGGAGUUUGGCUUCCAUAGUGAAGAAUAGCUAUACAAAAGAGCGGCUAUGGACUUUGUGACCAUAAAAAGAAGUGAGACUAUAAUGUAGAGUGCUCCAAUGAGGACUAAUAGAUUACUGAGUCUAUGAUACCUUGCUAAAAAGUCUCCGUGUCUCCGUGCUUGAUCUUCAUAUCUCAAUCUCUCUACUGCUUGCAAUUACAUUACUAGAAUUGAGUAGGACUUCAAAUAAGUUAAAAAAGCUUGUGCCAUGCUAGUUUUGAACCCUACGCAUGUAGUAGCUUUUGUUUAUCACAAUUGAGUGUAAUCUCAGCCUUUAGUUUUUAAAUCUCUAUUUAGCCCCUCUAUGGCAUGUUUGAUGCUAUAGCUAUCAUGGUAACAGGGCCUACCCCUUGGUAGGGUAAUUAAAUUGCUCUGUAUAUCAGCCAUGUUUUAAAAAAAUUAAACAAAACUUUAAUCUUGUUAAAACUUCUCCCUUUUUUUUAAUCAUGUGGUUACUAGGCUUACUACCGAAAGGAGUAUCCUUACCGUGAUAAAGGAAAGGAAAUCCUGAUUGUGCUUCGUAUCCAAUGCUAGGGGCUGUUCAUGAGUUGGUGCAUUUUUCCUUAGAGCCACGACUUUAUUAGUCAACCCAUACUCCCCCUCUUUUUUUUUCUUUCUGUAAAACCCAUGUUGUCUUGAUUUUCUAAACAAAACAUAGUUUUUGUGAAACCAACCAAGUUGGCGUGUCUAUUAUGUCGAGAAAAACAAUAAUACAAUGCCAUAACUUGUAAACUAUAAGCCUAGAAAUUAAAGCCAUGAACUACAACGAGCACACACUAACAUUGUACAGUGGUUGCUGAAGGGUAUUAUAUGAAUAGAAUACAUACAAUUUAAAAAGAAUUGAUGAUGGAAAUGCUGCCUUUUAUAAUCACUGAACUAAAUAAGAACCCUCUUUGUUUCCUUGUGGAAGAGAACAUCUGCUAUUAACCAAUGCAUAUGCAAGGAAGGAAGGAUACCUCAUUUCUAUGUGCCCCUGCUCAUGGAGUGUGACCAAACUGUCCUCAUGGCAUCCAAAGCUAUAUAUUUCUAUUAAUGCUAUUCAGGUCAGUAACAGCCAAGAGGCUCUGCACACACAGUUCGUCACCUUCACACACAGUUCGUCAUCUUCCAAACUGUCCUCAUGGCCCUGUUUGGAUCAUUAAACCUAGAUUACUGACAAAACCCAUUCCAUAACCGCUAGGCUAUUUUGCGAGAUGAAUCUAAUGAGGUAUAUUAAUCUAUGAUUCGCUACAGUGAUGCUACAGUAAUCAGCCGCUAAUCAUGGAUUAAUAUACAUCAUUAUAUUCGUCUCGCAAAAUAGUCUAGGGGUUAUAGAAUCGGUUUUAUCGGUAAUCUACGUUUAAUACUCCUAAAUAGCAAAAUUCUGGAGGGCUAUUUAAUAGCUCGGAGGAUCCAAACAAGGCCAUGGUUGCACUUGUUUCUUUCCAUCAUCACUUAACUCAAUCAUUUGCUUUUCAGCCUAUAAACUGCUAUAGAAAAUUAAGUUUUAAAACUUAAUUUUGGAGUUGAUUUCAAGGGGGUUUUCAUAUUUUUAUUUUUUAGCUUUUACUUUUAAAUCGCUAUACAAGUAUAUAUAAAAAAUUUACAAAUAAAUUAUUUUUUCUCGGUGAUAAGCCGUUACGGCCUAUAAUCAACUAUAGGUUAAACAAGAGGUUAUUCUUCGAAAACAACUAAAGGCACCAUUCUUGUGAAAAAGCUUUGGAAGAUGAAGUGUAGUAGCAGUACAAGUUCAAUUGCCUGAAGAGCAGGUAAAGCCAGAGAGAUCAAAGCAGCAAAAAGGCCAUGACAACAUCAUGGAGUAUAUAUUCAGAUUCACCUCCUCUUUUUCUUCAGCAAGGAAAGGGAGGUGCAAUAUUAAAAAAAAAUCUGCAGCAGUUUGUGCUGUCCUUUUUGGAAGGAAGUAAGGAAAAGGGGGUCCAAGAGGAGGUUGGCUCACACAAUGAGUGACACAAUGCCCUGCUGCCUUGCUUUGCUCAGCUUUGCUUUACUUUGCUUGCGUAGGUAGGAAGAGGAAGAGCAGAAAAUGGAGGGAGAGCAGUAUGAAAAUUUGGCAGCAAAAUUGGCAGGCGCCAAACAUAAUAAAUGAAAUGAAUAACUGCAACUAAUUUGUUUAUAGAUUUAGAUGGAUGUUUCGGAUAUCUGUAACGAUAAUCGAUAAUGUAUAAUUUUAUUUGUCUAACAAGUUUAGAACCACACAUGAUACACCUAUGUAAUACCGGUGUUGUAAAUUGGGCCCAUAUGUCGUGUACAUGCAAGGGAAAAUAUAUAGUUUUGAAUUAAAAAAAUGCUAGUUAUAGUUUCACGAAAUACCUACUUUUGAACAAAUAAUUACAGUAAUGUGAAAUUUACUCAAUGGAAAAAGUGCAAGAACUGAAUUGAAUGGGAGAAGGAAUAUGAAAACAAAACCAGAUUUGCUGCAGAUUUACGUAUUCAUUGUGAUAGAUAUAUAUCCCCAAUAUAUAUAUUGACAUUGUUUUUCCUAAUACUAAUUUCUUAUUAGAAGGAAAAAACACCCACCAAAACACAUAGUCGAGCCCAGUUCGUUCCAGGCUCAAGCCUAGCCAAAGCCACAGCUCACCACAGCUCGUCAGUUAGGGCAUGUUUAGUUCGCAAAAAUUUUUGCCCUGCAUACCACAUCAGAUAUACGGAUACACAUUUAAAGUAUUAAAUAUAGUCUAAUAACAAAACAAAUAAGAUUCCACCAGAAAACUACGAGACGAAUUUAUUAAGCCUAAUUAAUCCGUUAUUAGCAAAUGUUUACUGUAGCACCAUAUUGUCAAAUCAGGGCGCAAUUAGGCUUCAAAGAUUCGUCACGCAAUUUCCUGGCGAAUUGUGUAAUUAAUUCUUUUUGUCUACGUUUAAUACUAUAUGCAUGUAUUCAAACAUUCGAUGUGAUAGCAUGAAAAAUUUAUUUCGGAACUAAACAGGCCAGUAUUAUCGCCAGUAUUGAGUACUUGCUCGGCUCGGCUCACGAGCCGACGGCUGGGCUCACUGAGCGAGCCAGAGCAAUCCGGCUCAGAUAAAAGCGAAACCCUCCCUCCCCUCUCCAAGCGGAAACCUACCCCCUCUUCUUCCUCCGCUUCUCUCUCUCUCUCUCUCUCUCUCUCUUUCUCUCUCCUCAACCGUGCGGCUGCCUCCUCCUCGUCGCUGGGCAUGGAUGUGCACCCGCCGAAUG